AACAUAAAACUACCAUCGGCAAAUAUCUGGGCAUUCAUAAUAUUGUGUUUUGGAAAGAUCCAGUGAAUGAAUGUGAAUUAAUCAAAAGAGUUAAGCAAAAGCUUGUUGGGUGGAAGGCUAAUACUCUCUCUAAGCCAGGAAGACUAACUCUCAUUAAGUCCAACUUAUCUGGUAUGCCGAAUCAUAUCAUGUCUUGCUUUAAAUGUCUUAUUCGAGUAACUCAGAACUUAAACAAUGAGUGUAUGGACUUCUUUUGGGGGAGAUAUAGGAAGUUAAAACCUAUGGCUUGGAAAAAAGUGUGUACUUCUAAGGAUCAAGUGGGGUUGGGCGUAAGAAGAGUGGAUCAUUUCAAUAAUGCAUGUUUGGCUAAGUUAGGAUGGAAAGUUUUAAAGGAUGAAAACAAUUGGUGGGUGCAAAUUGUUAAAAGAAAGUACUUAAAGAAUGAUGAUUUUUUUAGUUGCAAAGUCAAGCAGAACCACCCUUUGGCCUGAGAAGGGAUUUUGAAUAGUAGACAUGUUAUUAACAAGGGAAUUAGAUAGGUUAUGGGUAAUGGUGCGGAUGUACUUUUUUGGACCCAUCAUUGGGUUUUUUCUUAUCCAUUGUUCCAACUAAUUCCUGAAAAUCAACGACAGAACAUAAAUUGGGACACUAAAGUGAGUGAGUUUAUUGAUCAUAAAAGUUGGGAUAGAGUUUGUCUCUCCCAAGUGUUGGACCUAGAUGUUGUGAGGAAAAUUUGUAUGGUGCCUAUUUCCCUUCAAAAUAAAAGUGACAAUUUCGUGUGGAAACACUCCUCUAAUGGUGAGUUCUCAAUCAAGUCAACGACUUGGAUUUAGAGUAAUAAUAAUCAAGAAGUUAAAAGGCAGACGCUUCUUAAGAAGAUAUGGAAGUUAAUGAUACCUUCGAAGGUAAAAAAAUUUGCAUGACUUUUUACUCAUGAAAAACUUCAUACUAGGAUGAGAUUGAGUAAAUUUAUUCAAAAUAUUGACAAAUUGUGCCCUACGUGUGGCAAUGAGGAUGAGACUCAAAAUCAUCUUUUUCUUAAUUGCGAGCAUGCUAAAGAAAUGUGGAACCUUGGAAGAAUAAUUUGACUCAGUUUAAUAAUGUGUUAGAUUGCAUGGAACUAAUUGACAAUGUUGAAUGCAUGAUUUGAGUGAUCUUAGUAAAGCUAUUUUGAAUUGUUGACAAAUAUGGAAUGAUAGAAAUAAUGAUUUUUUUAGAAGUAUGAUUCCUAAUUCGGCUAGGAGUAUCUCCAUUGCCACAAGUGUAUGAUUCCUAAUCCGGCUAGGAGUAUCUCCAUUGCCACAAGUGUAGGCUUAUCUUUUUUUAAAGUUAAUUGUAAGAAGAUCUCUAGGGGUGAUCCUUGUCACCAACACCCCAUUUGCUGGUGUCCUCCUCCCCAUGGCUAUGUGAAAUUAAACUUUGAUGGGUUGGUUAGUUUGGAUCACUCUGUAGCUGCUUUUGUUCUUAGAAAUGAGGAGGGGCAACAUGUUGGUGCGGGGGCUUUGAACCUUGAUGGUGCCAUCAUUUCGGUUGCGGAGGCCGUUGCUUUAAAGGAAGGGCUUUUGUUCGCUAGGUGCAAAGGUGUGAAGAAGUUGAUGGUGGAAGGGGAUUCUAAGCUUUGUCAUCCAGGUGGUGCAAGAUGUUUGGAUUCCCCCUUGGCAUCUCAAACCUAUCAUAGAGGACAUCAAAUGGUUGGCUUCUGAAUUUCAACAUAUUAGUUGGAAGCAUAUUUAUAGGGAUGCUAAUUUUAUGGCGGACACAUUAGCUCAUGUGGGUCUCACUGUUGCCAACCCACAUUUUUGGGAUUUUUGUCUUCCAACUUCGACUAUGGAGGCUUUUAAUUUUGAUUGUAUGAGAAAUAGUUGUAUUAGAGGUUUUAAGCUUUAAUAAAUUUCUUCUUCAUUAAAAAAAAAAAUCAUUUGAAUUGUUGAUCGUUCCAAAGGUAUCAAAUAAAAUGGACUUUUCAUCAAGAAUAUGUUUCAUGAUCUUGCACCCAGAGGCGAAGCUAUGUAGGAGCGAAGGGGGGCGUUCGCCCCUCCGCUCGCCGGAAAACAAAGGCAAGAGCGACGCUUGAACCCCCCUGGUUUGGCCGGAAACUGGGGAGCACCAGGUUCUGAAACCAGAAACAAAGGUAGCUCGGGGAAGACGACGGGGAGGUAUUUUUUUUAAAUUUUAAAAUCCAGGCCAAAACGACGUUGUUUUUGGCCUGAUAAAAAAAAAUUAAAUUUUUUGGCAAACGGCGUUGUUUUGGUUGAAUGAAAUAAAAAAAUAUAUAAACGGGGGGACCACUGGUCCCCAUCCCCAUCUAAACCCUAAACCAAAUUAAAAACCCUUCACCUUUUUCCCCAAAUUCCAUCCCGUCAGUCCCCCCACCCCACCUUUUCCCCCCUUCCCCCCCCCCCCACACGACAAAACCUUCUGUCCUGUAGCAAAUAGACCAGACACAUCAGUCUGCAACUGCAAGCACACUGCGCAGCCAUUCCAAAUUCCAAUUAAGGUAAAAUUUUUAAUUUAUUUCAAACCCUAAUUGAUUAUUGAAUAUAAAUUUUUGUUUAAUUGAUGUAGGAUUACAAGGUUAUACAUUAUAUGGUUAUUGAUUAUAGAUUAUUCAUAUGAAUACUAUGAUUAUUGAUUUUUUUUUUUGAAGUACAUAAAAGAGGAUUGAUACAUUAUAUAUACAUUACCAUAAUGAACCCCAAUUCAACUAACUAAAACCCUCAUUCAAAUGCAUUGUUGGUACUUAUUAAUUACAUUUGUAGUCUACAUACUCUACUAUAGAAUAAAAAUUGAUUAUUCAUAUGAUAUGAUUGUUGGUACUGAUUAAUUAAAUUCGUAGUCUACUCUAGGACUAAGAGUCUAAGAUAUAUUUGUUUUUCUUUCGUUAUACAGUUACGUAAUGGAACGAUAUUAUAAGAAACAAUGCUUAAAUCCUUCUCCAAAUAUUCCGGAUAGUCCUCCUCUUCCUUCAAAUAUUCCGGGUAGUCCUCCUCCACCUUCUAGUAUUCCGAGUAGUGCACAACAAAGUGAGAUUACUGAGUUGGAUGAAAUAUUAGCUAAUCUUCCGGCAGACCCUGGACUGAGACGUCGAAUGCUUGAUUAUCCACUCAAUUGUCGUGAAGCAAUUCAUAGAUACUACCUUCAAAAGGAACCUUGUCAACCUAAGUCUCACAUCAUACCAAGGAAAGCUAGCGAUAAUCGAUGUUUUAUUACAGGUUGGUUUGAUAAUUUUAAGUGGUUGGAGUAUAGUAUAGUAAAAGAUGUUGCAUUUUGCCGUUAUUGCUAUCUUUUUAAAUGUGAUUUUGAUAAAGCGGGUGGUAGUGGAAGUGAUGUGUUCACUACAAAAGGGUUUACAAAUUGGAGGAAAGGACCCGAAAAUUUUCGAGUCCACGAGGGAGGUGUUGGAAGUCUUCAUAAUAAGGCUAUGCAACAAGCUAAAGACUUGAUGACACAAAAACAACACAUUGAAACAUUUGUGAUCAAGCAAACUGAUGAAGCUCGCGUUAAUUAUCACACUUUACUAAGUGGAGCACUUGAUUGCACAAGAUGGUUGUUGCGACAAGGUUUGGCUUUUCGUGGGCACGAUGAAUCUUUGAAAUCGAGCAAUAGGGGUAAUUAUAUAGAGCUUAUGCAAUUUCUUGCCGAUCAUAAUGAGAAAGUUAGAAAGGUUGUGUUUGAGAAUGGUCCCAAGAAUCUCAAGUAUACUUCUUCCGAUAUUCAAAAGGAUCUUGUUCGUGCUUGUGCUAUUGAAACUAUUAAUGCAAUCACUAAAGAUAUGGAAGGUACAUUUUUUUCUCUUUUGGUUGAUGGAUCACGUGAUGCUUCCAAUAAAGAGCAAAUGGCGGUGGUAUUGCGUUAUGUGAACAAAAAAGGAGAAGCAAUUGAAAAGUUUUUGGGUGUUCAACAUGUCUCCUCUACAACUAGUAGCUCACUUGAAAAGGCUAUUGAGAGAUUGUUUGCUACAACAAAUUUGAGUAUGUCCAAGUUACGAGGACAAGGCUAUGAUGGAGCUAGUAAUAUGAGAGGUGAGUUAAAUGGUCUUAAAACAAAGAUUUUGAACAAAUACCCUCAAGCAUUUUAUAUUCAUUGUUUUGCACACCAACUCCAACUAGCUCUUGUAUUUGUGGCAAAGGAAAAUGAGGAUGUUGCCAAUUUCUUCAUCAAUGCUAAUAGAUUGGUGAAUCUUAUUGGACCUUCGUGCAAGCGUCAUGAUGCAUUGAGAGAGAAACAACAAGAACAAAUUCAAAAAGCUCUUCAUCUUGGUAAUCUUGAAACGGGUAAAGGGUUAAAUCAAGAAAGUAGCCUCAUGCGUCCAUGUGAUACACGGUGGAACUCGCAUUAUGGUACUAUAGUUAGUAUUAUUGUUAUGUUUGAAGUCGUGGUGGAGGUGAUUGAAUGGAUUAAAAGUGAUCGCAACCAAGAUAAUCUCGGUGAAGCUACUGGGUUAUUCAAAGACAUACAAACUUUUGAUUUUGUGUUUCACCUUUUCUUGAUGAGACUUAUAUUGGGAAUUACAAAUGAGUUAUCACAAGCAUUGCAAAAGAAAGAUCAAGAUAUUGUGAAUGCGAUGACGUUAGUGGAAGUAUGCAAGCAAAGACUACAAUCCUUGAGAGAUGAUGACUUUGGGGACUUGUUGCAUGAUGUAGAAAAGUUUUGUGAGGAGCAUGAUAUUGUCAUUCCUAACAUGGAGGAUUUGCAUUUCGUACCUGGAAAAUCAAGGUGUAAAGCUCCAAAAAUCACAAACUUCCAUUACUAUCGUGUAGACCUCUAUUUUCAAGUCCUUGAUAUGCAACUAAAGGAAUUGAAUGAUCGCUUCAAUGAGGUAAACACCGAGUUGCUUCUUUGUAUGGCAUGUUUGAGUCCAGUGAAUAAUUUUGCAUAUUUUGACAAAGAAAAAAUUGUUCGUUUAGCCCAACUUUAUCCUCAAGAUUUUGAUCGUAUGGACCUCAUGAAUCUUCCAAUUCAACUUGACAAUUACAUUCAAGAUAUGAAGAUGCAUAGUGAGUUUUCAUCAUUGAGAGGAAUCAGUGAUCUUGCAAAAGAGUUAGUGAAGACUGGAAGGUGUGAAAGCUAUAUGUUAGUGUAUAAGCUUCUUACAUUGGUUUUGGUGUUACCGGUUGCAACCGCUUCGGUGGAGAGAGCUUUUUCUGCUAUGAAGAUUGUGAAAACACCAUUGCGUAAUAAAAUGGGAGAUCAAUGGUUGAGUGAUAGCAUGAUUGUUUACAUUGAGAGAGAUGUAUUUGCUUUUAUUGAUAAUGAGCCUAUUAUGCGACGUUUUCAUGACAUGAAACCUCGUCGACAACAAUUGUAAUUUGUUUUUAUUGAUUAAUUAUGGAAGACAUUAUUAUAUACAAAGAUUUAGUUGUUGCUAUUUUUUUUUUAACCUUGCACUGUUUUAAGUUCGCCCCUCCCCCUGAGAAAUCCUGGCUUCGCCACUGCUUGCACCAUCGAUUUAUUCUAUACAUUUCAAUAACUAAAUGAUUUGCGAUUAAAAUGAUUUUUGUAAGAAUGAUAUGCAAAUGAAGAUUAAGAAGUUAAACAUUUCCUAUUACAAAAUUUGUACAAUCAAAAUACGUUAUUCGUAAAGAAGAAAUAAGCUCAUUCUCCCAAUGGUAUGCAAAACAAAACCACACGGAACAAUGCAUGGAUCACUGGGCAGGAAUUUGUUUGUCCGAAAAGUACUGUAGCCUGUAGGGUUCAACGUUCCGCGUCUGUUUGAAUCAGGCUUUAGUCCGUGUUCAAACUUUCAAAGAUGGCGAAGUCAAACGGUUGAUAAUUUGUCCAGAAACUAUGUUCAUGUUUCUCACGUUUAUAUAUAUAUAUAUAUAUAUAUAUAUAUAUAUAUAUAUAUAUAUAUAUAUAUAUAUAUAUAUUAUUAUAAACAAAUAAGAAGAGCUCUCCAACCACAAAUAAAACAGCGAAUACAGUAGUUUUCUGUAACUCAUUUAUAUUAUAUUAUAUAUUUUACACACACACACAUAUAUUAUUUUACACACACACACAUGUAUAUGUAUAUACCUAGUAACGAUCCUUAUUUUUUAAAAAAAGGUUAAAUUUUUUUCGUAGUCUAUAUGAUGUCAUGGCAUUUUUAAUGUCACAUUCGUGGUUAAAAAGUUGUUAACCAAACUCUCGUGAGCUCCAUUACCAAUUGAGGUCCAAACUUAAACUAUUGUUAGUUUUCUGUCAAAUAAACCCACAUGAGUUUCACGUAGAGAGGCUAAAUUCUUCUUUUCAAACCAAAUCAAGAAACCAUAAACAUAUGUCGUUAGAUAUAUACUAGGCUUAAACUGAAAUUGGAAUUGACUUAAAAGAAAAAGAGGUUUAAAACUUGAAUCACGUCGAAGGGUGAGACUGGUUGGCUAUGGAUCCAGCGAAAAUAUGAAUAAGGGCUUCUUUCUUCUCCUCCAUCAACUGACGAUGGAUUCGUUUGGCAACAAAAUCAAGCAACUCGUGUGAAUCCUUGGCGAACACGAGGGAUGGGACUGAUGUUUUGGGUGUCACAACCCCUUGGUGUUUUCCGUCCCUCACUCCUUCCACCCACCGCCCUCCUUCUCCUCCUCCAACUCCAGUUAAUGGUUGCAUGGAUUACUCCACGAAUCCCUUACUAUUUGAUCAACAUUUUGCGAGGUUUGGCAUGACCUUGGCAUGUCAAUAUCGAAAUUUUGCGAGGCUUGGCUUGUCAUUGGCAUGUCAAAGACAAGUCAUGACACGCAUUAUGCUGAUACUUUGCGAGUCUUGACGCGUUGCGACAUACAUUUUCCCUACAUGAGUUGGAAAAAGACAUGGCAAAUCUAAAGUCACGACAUAACUUGGAAAAAAACAUGCAAAGCUAAUGUCCAACAAGACUUAUUUUGCGACAUGGUAGCCAACUGUACUCAAGUGUCGUCGUUCAAUUUUUUGGGUUGGCCAGUGCAAUAACAAAAAUUGCUUUUUGGACUACGAAAUAUGUUCACAUGACUUAGGACCCCAAUAUUAGACGGUCCACUUUUGUCAUUCAUUCAUCACAUAACAACCCACAAACUAUAACAAUGGUGAGCAUCAUAUUGUGCGAGGAAAAUGUCAAGAUAUUGAACGCACUUCGACAUGCCAUUGACAAUGUGCAUAGGUAGCCAUAGCCUCACUUGUUAUCGGCAUAAAGCAAGGCUCGAAUGCCUUUUGACAUGUUAUAGCAAAUCACAUGAGUUGUACUAGCCUCGCUUGUUGUCGACAUAAAACGAAGCUAUAUGUCAAAAUACAUGGCAAAGCUAAAGCCCCGACAUGACUUGAAAAAAAAACAUGGCAGAAUUAAAGUCCCGACAUGAAUUUGGUAGCCAACUUUAAGAUCGAUAAACAAUUUCGCACAAUUGUCGAAUAGGCCAAAGUGUGAGGAAUUUUUGCCCAAUUGUUGACUAAUAGCCUCGCCUCUCGAAACAUGAGUAAUUUGAAAAGGUUGUGUGUAGGAAGAAAAUGGGGGAGACGAAUGGAAGCGACGCAAGGCUGAAUCUCAAUGGAUAUGGCAACAAGGCCACUCUGCCACUUACAAUACCCCGUUGCGUAUUUAAGUCGUCUGCAAAGGAUUCUACACACUUUUUGGUGGAAAUUAUAAUUCAAGGCAGCCACCGCCGCUCAUCUACCGCGAUGACUUAACCUACGACAUGAGCCUUUGGGGGUCAAGGCCCCUACUGCAGGUUAGCAAGGCGGCGGGCGCAUGCGUCACUUCUAGCUUGGAUUCUGACUUAGAGACGUUCAGUCAUAAUCCAACGCAUGGUAGCUUCUCACCACUAGCUUUUCAACCAAGCGCGAUGACCAAUUGUGUGAAUCAACGGUUCUUCUCGUACUAGGUUGAAUUACUAUUACGACAUUGUCAUCAGUAGGGUAAAACUAUCAUGUCUCACGGCGGUCUAAACCCUACUCACGUUCCUUAUUUGUGGGUGAACAAUCCAACACUUGGUGAAUUCUGCUUCACAAUGAUAAGAAGAACCAACAUCGAAGGAUCAAAAAGCAACGUCUCUAUGAACGCUUGGCCGCCACAAGCCAGUUAUCCCUGUGGUAACUUUUCUGACACCUCUAGCUUCAAAUUUCGAAGGUCUAAAGGAUCGAUAGGCCACGCUUUCAUGGUUCGUAUUCGUACUAGAAAUCAAAAUCAAAUGAGCUUUAACCCUUUUGUUCGACACGAGAUUUAUGUUCUUGUUGAGCUCAUCUUAGGACACAUGCGCUAUCUUUUAACAAAUGUGUUUCCCCAACCAAACUCCCCACCUAACAAUGUCAUUGGCCCAGAUUGGCUUGCGAGCAAACAUUUGUUCCAAAAAAAGGGCCGAUGCCCCGCCUCCGAUUCACGAAAUAAGUAUACAUAUCCAUAUAUAUGUAAUUAAACUAUGAACAACCUUCAAAAUUUUGAUUUCCUCGUAUGGCUAUUAGUUUUGGGGUUGGACCUGGAGCUAUUAGUUCUGAAUAUCUUCUUCAAAGCUUAAACAUUUCCUGUAUGUAUGCGCUUAUUAGUUAUGAACCCUAGCAUCUGACAACAAAUCAUUUUGGUUUCUUGAUUUGGUUUGAAAAAGACUAAUCUAGCCUCUUCAUGAUAGAUUUGGACCUUAAUUGCUAACUAGACUCAUCACAAGGGUUUAGUUAACAACCUUUUCAUCACGAUGGUAAAAUUGAAAGUACCAUAACACCACAUGGUCUAGAAAAAAAUUUGACCUAAAAAAUAAUGUCAUUUACACACAGUUGAUAGGUUUAAGAAUUACGCCUAUGAUUAUAUUUAAUAGGUUUUUAUCAUAAAUGGUCCCUGAAAUUGGCUAUCACCAUCAAGAUGAUCCAUGAAAUUAAAAAUCGAUCAAUGUAGUCCCUGAAAAUAGGUGUCGGAAAUCAAUGUGAUCCUUCCGUCACAGUUAUAUUAAAAAUUCUAUCAAGUGCUAAUGUGGCAUAUAAAUGAGCCCCAUAAGUUCUUUUUUAAUUACAAAUAGUCCUUGGAAUUGACCCGUGACAUCAAAAUGAUCCCUGAAAUUGGCCCGAGACAUCAAAAUGGUCUCUGAAAUUGAAAAUCAACCAAUGUAAUCCCGCAAGUAAGUGUCUCAAAUUAAUGUAGUUCCUCCGCCACAAUUCUAUCAAAAAUUCUGUUAUGUACGGAAGUCUAAUUAAAUAAAAAAAAUUACAAAUAGGUUUAAUAAUUUAAUAAUUAAUAAAAAGGUUGUCAACCCAAAAACCUAGUCCCGCAAUCACCUCUGAUCCCAGUCCACAUUUCUCUACCUCCAUCUAUGGUAGCCUUCUAUGUCUAUUCUCUAGAAAAAGAAAAUCUUUAAUACACUCAUAUUUACAUACUUCGACACCCUUCACCAAAUUGGACUCUGAUCCAGAUCACCUUUGGUGAUGGCUUGGUUUGGCGACGACUUCUGUGACAUCACAAUUAACAUUUAGGCAAUCAACAUCCUCACAACCUAAAUCUUGAAGAGCUUGAUGGGCGCUCCCCUGGUGAUCUGGUGUUGCAGAGAAUGACGAGAUUUGCUUUGAGAUAAUAAGGUUCUAACCAAGGCACGUCUAUUGUUGGUUGAAAAUUAUUUCCAAACCCCCUCUUAGGCCUUAGCUAAGCAUUGUGCCUUAGAGAAUUUAUGGAAUGAAUCUCUCUUCAGAGUAGGCCCUAUUAUAAGAAGAAAAAAAUUCCAUUGUGCAAAAAAUAUUUAGACAAAUUUUUUAAUUAGUUAUUAAAUUAUUAACCCACAUCAGCACAUAAUUUUUUUUUUAUAUAGAAUUAGGGCGGAAUGACCAUAUUGAUUUGCAACAUCUAUUUUCAGGGACUCCAUUGAUCGAUUUUCAAUUUCAAAGACCAUCUUGAUGGUGUGGGUCAAUUUCAGGGAUCAUUGUGAUAAAAAUCAGCAAAUCUGGUGGGGUCCAUUUAUGUGUCACGUCAACACCUAACAAAAUUCUUAACAAAAUUGUAACGGAAUGACUACAUUGAUUUACAACACUUAUUUUCAAGGACUACAUUUAUUGAUUUUCAAUUUCAGGAAUCAUCUUGAUGGUGAAGGUCAAUUUCAAGGACCAUUUGUGAUAAAAACCUUAUUUAAUGAUAUAUAUAUAUAUAUAUAUAUAUAUAUAUAUAUAUAUAUUUAAUACACAACAGUUAUUCACAAUUAAAGUUGGAAUUUUGACUAAGUUAUAAUAAUUUAAUAGCGAUCUCAACAUUUUUGGAUUCGAAUUUAACAGAUCCGUAAAGAAGAAUGUCAAUAUAUAGACCAUUGGACUAUUGACGGAUCUACGAACUAUAUAAUUCAUUUCUCCGAAUGUUAAGAGACAAUGUGCAUUUUAAAUAACUUGAAAUUUGUAUUUUGAUUUCUCAACUAUAUAAUUAUGUAUUAGUUCGAUCUGUUCGAAGCAGUGGCGAAGCUACAUAGGGGCGAGGAGUGGCGUCCGCCCCUCCCCUCGCCAGAAAUCAAGCCCAAGAGCGGUGGUUCCGCCCCUCUGGUCCCGUCGGAAGUGAUGAAGUUAUGUGUUUUCUGGGUUCAUUGUUGCUGUGCACAGUGGCGGAUUUACAUAGGGACCUGGGAGGUCCCAGGACCCGUCAAUGCCCUUGAAUCUUUGCUUGAAAUUUUCCGGGGACCCCUCGUACUAGAAGAAGAAGGCCUGUGCAAGCUACAACGUCAGCAUGUUCACGGAGAAGACGAUUGCACGAAGAAGAAAGAGAUGUUCUAUUUUUAACCCUGGCUCAAAACGCUCGUUUUGGCAAUUUGUUUUACUUUUAAACAAAACAGAAAGUUUAAAACAAUUGGCAAAAUGCUGUCGUUAGUCAUUUUUUUGUUUUAACUCCCCAAGCCCCCAGCACGUCCCCCAUAGUCCCAUCCUACUUUCAACGUUCCAAUGCCCCCUUUUUACAUGUUCACCUAAUCUCCAUUUCCCCAAAGUUGUCAAAAUUCAAUAUUGUUUUUUGGUAUUCUAACUAAUCUCAAUUAAAUUAUAUUAUAUAUUGAUAGAGAUUUAUAGUCUAUUAUUGAUAGUUUUAUGUUUGCAUACUCAUUUGAUUAUUAGAAUUUUGUUUAUUGGUUAAUUGGUAUGUGUUUUUGUGUUUUUUUUAUUAAUAAUGUAUUAUAGAAAUAAGAAAAUAAGAGAUCAAUGGUUGAGUGACAGCUUAGUUAUUUACAUUGAGAUGGCCCUGCUGAAUAUUUAUUAUAUGAAAUUCUUAGGGUAAAAAUUGAAUUUUUUUUAUUAUAGAUUAAUUGAUUAUUGAUAUUGAUUAACUGAAUAUUUGUUUAUUGAAUAAUUUAUAUGAUUAUUGGUAUUGAUUGGUUUAUUAGUUAUUAGUCAUAUAGUAUAUUCUACUCUAAGAUUAAGAAUCUAAGAUUUUUUUUUUCUUCGCAUUAUACAGUUAAUUAAUAUAAAGAUACUAUAAUGAGCCUAUUAUGCGAAGUUUUUAUGAUAUGAAACGUCGUUGGUAACUAUUGUAAUGUGUUCGUAUUGAUAAAACCAUGGAAGAUACUACUAUAAAAGGAUUUGAUUGUUGUGAUUUUUUUGAAUCUUGCACUCUUUAAGUUCGCCCCUCCCCUCGACAAAUCCUGGCUUUGCCACUGCAUGGAAUGAGAGAUUUUUCAGUGUGACUGGUACAUGGGGUGGUACACCACGUGUCACUAAACAAAUUGUGAGAUAUUUGUGCUAAAAAAUUAAUAACUUAAAAAAUAAAAUUUCCCACCAUUCCUAUGAAAACACGUGGUGUACCACUUGUGUUCCCGUUACAACUAAAAAUUUCUCGCAUGGAAGAGUAUAAUGAUAGUUUUCUUAGUUUUUUGUUGACAAGUGUUCCAUUAAUAAGCACUAUGUAUAUGUGUGUGUGUGUGUGUAUAUAUUUUUUUUUUUUUAUGGUUCGAUCGUUAAAAAAAGUUAGGGGAGAGGACCUUGUAAAAUGUGUCCCCCUGAUCCUAACACACACACAUGUGUGUGUGUGUGUGUGUGUGUGUGUGUGUGUGUGUGUGUGUGUGUUGAUUUGAACUUAAUUUGAUGUCUCAAAAGAAUGAGAUGGAUCAUGAGUAGAAGACUCAAGUGGUGGAUUAUCAUGGUCAAUAAGGUCUUAUUCUUCAACCUAUUGCGUCUUUGGUUUAAAACUUCUUCCCUGUAGUUAGAUGAAUCUAGUGAAGAAUAUCUUAUUGUGUGUCAAAAUAAAAAACUUAUGAGUAGAAGGUGCAAGGUACAUAUUUUUUAGUUUGGUAAAACUUAUCACAUUUUUAGUUUAGGUACCAUUGGUCCUAAAAAUUACAAAGCACACGUGGCGCGCAUACCGAAUAAUUAAGAGUAUCGCCUCCUUAGGUGGCUUGAAUGUUGGUGCAGGUGUGCCCAUUCGCCGCCAAGCUCUGUUGGGCAAAUAUCUUGAAUAUGGUGAUGUGGUGAAAUCCACAACUAACUUCUAAAUCGAGCGACUCCGGCCGAGGAAGGAACAUUCUCACCUUUGACUUCAAAAACCUGAAGACAAGGUUAUGCUAAUCACUGUUAAGUUCUGAAUCCUAUACACCAAGUUCUGCAACAUCAACUAUAUCGGUGAAAAUAUAGGUCCACUGGAUCGGUAUCAAACAAUAUCAACAAAUCAAGACUUUUCGCCGGCUAAGACUUAGGAUAAAUAGACAGCCACAACUAAGAGAAAAUCCUCAUCUAUUUAAUCGAUCGCAAAUCCUAACACAAAAUGACUCUACAGGUCCAGCCCUGUCUAUCCCAAUCGGUCGCCUUCAUUGGUCGCUUAUGGAAAACAUUGUCUAUCCAAUCGGUCGACGUUCAUUGGUUGCCAACCCAAAUUUGUCUAUCCAGUCAUAAUGUGUUAACGAUUAAUAAGUCAAUUUCACAAAAGCGGUGUGAAAGGAUUUCACGUAGAGCAUUCAUUUAUGUGCUGUGUUGAAGGUCCUCUUCAUGUUGCCAAUACUCUCAUUUAUAUAUUUAUUGGUCCCCUCUCACCAUUCUCCCACCGAAACUCUAUCACCGCCAAAUCCACUUUCUUAGACUUAAACCAGGAUUUUGAAUGCAUAUUUAUUAUGUCAUUAAUUCAAAUUUUAUCCCGAAGCCAAUCCUAAUCCUUAAGCAAUCCUGCUUCGAUUAGAACUCAAUUGCGCCACCAACACUGCACUACUGAGCCGAAACUUACAACCUUUUUUCUGUGCUGACUUCUAACAACUCGGCUCAAACCAGAAUUUCAAGCCCAAGCAAAUAUGAUAAUCAAUCAAACCAUUGCCAACACAAAAUGUGCUAAUUAUCUUAUUAUUAGGCGAAUAUCGGAAACUGGGAUGUUUUAAUUUUCUUAUACAAGGAAGGGAUAGAGAGAGUGAGAUUUGAUUGAGGACGGUUUUAAGUGUUUUGUCUAUGUUAUUGUUCAAACUGGAUGUUUUGCAGGGGAUUAUUAGACAAUGUUAAACUUUCCACUAAAUUAACCACGACGGUAAUGUACGGCACCGGCCUGAAAUACAAAGCAAAUAAGAAAUGAAAUAUCUAAACAAAUAGUGAAGCAUCAAGCUAAUUGGGGUUUGAAAGAUCUUCAGUUUUCAAACCAAAUAUUCUAAAAGAGAUAUGCAGUGAACGUACUAACUAAAGUAUAUGUUUAAGCAUUUCCAACUAGUAGUAUAAACACUAUAUUUUUUGUUUUGGGAGUGGUCCAUGUGAAGCACCUCAGAAGUGUCAAUAACAAGAGGCAAUCAAUCAAACGAAUUCCUUUAGAAUCUUUGCUCUAAUUUAAUUAUUAAAAAGGAACUAAAAGGCGUCUCGAUUAUCACAUAUGCCUCAAAGUUUCACGGCUGCAUUGUCUAUAUAUGAAACAAUGUGGAAUGAGAUCCAUCAUGCUUAGAAGGCGCAAGCUAAACAUGCAUUUCUUUUUCUUUCUUUUAUCAUGUGCACAUUAUGAGUAUGUGAGAGAAAAUGUGGAACUUUGAACCAGUGGCGAAGUCAGGAUUUGUCGAGAGGAGGGACGAACUUAAAGAGUGCAAGAUUCAAAAAAAUCACAACAAUCAAAUCCUUUUAUAGUAGUAUCUUCCAUGGUUUUAUCAAUACGAACACAUUACAAUAGUUACCAACGACGUUUCAUACAAUAAAAACUUCGCAUAAUAGGCUCAUUAUAGUAUCUUUAUAUUAAUUAACUGUAUAAUGCGAAGAAAAAAAAAUCUUAGAUUCUUAAUCUUAGAGUAGAAUAUAAUGACUAAUACCUAAUAAACCAAUCAAUACCAAUAAUCAUAUAAAUUAUUCAAUAAACAAAUAUUCAGUUAAUCAAUAUCAAUAAUCAAUUAAUCUAUAAUAAAAAAAUUCAAUUUUUAUCCUAACAAUUUCAUAUAAUAAAUAUUCAGCAGGGCCAUCUCAAUGUAAAUAACUAAGCUGUCACUCAACCAUUGAUCUCUUAUUUUCUUAUUUCUAUAAUACAUUAUUAAUAAAAAAAAAAACACAAAAACACAUACCAAUUAACCAAUAAACAAAAUUCUAAUAAUCAAAUGAGUAUGCAAACAUAAAACUAUCAAUAAUAGACUAUAAAUCUCCAUCAAUAUAUAAUAUAAUUUAAUUAAGAUUAGAUUAGAAUACCAAAAAACAAUAUUGAAUUUUGACAACUUUGGGAAAAUGGAGAUUAGGUGAAUAUGUAAAAAGGGGGCAUCGGGACGUUGAAAGUAGGAUGGGACUAUGGGGACGUGUUGGGGGACUGGGGAGUUAAAACAAAAAAAUGACUAACGACAGCAUUUUGCCAAUUGUUUUAAUCUUUCUGUUUUGUUAAAAGUAAAACAAAUUGCCAAAAUGAGCGUUUUGAGCCAGGGUUAAAAAAGAACAUCUCUUUCUUCUUCGUGCAGUCGUCUUCUCUGUGAAGACGCUGACGUUGUAGCUUACACAGGCCUUCUUCUUCUAGUACGAGGGGUCCCCGGAAAAUUUCAAGCAAAGAUUCAAGGUCGUUGAAGGGUCCUGGGACCUCCCAGGUCCCUAUGUAAACCCGCCACUGUGCACAGCAACAAUGAACCCAGAAAACACAGAACUUCAUCACUUCCGACGGGACCAGAGGGGCAGAACCACCACUCUUGGGCUUGAUUUCUGGCGAUGGGAGGGGACGACGCCACUCCUCGCCCUAUGUAGCUUUGCCACUGCUCCUAUGCAUACUUGAAAGAAAAUAUGAGAAAAGAAAAAUUAUGGGCAUUAAAGUAAUUUUGCACAAAAUGGUCUUGUUCUUCUUUUUUCAUCCAUCACCCACAUGUUAUCUAAACAUAUCUCUAAUUUAAAAAAAUAAAUGAAAAAUAAAACACUCCCAAGUUUUCUCUCUCCCUCUAUUUUUCACAAUUCUCUCCAACUUCGGUCUCUUUCGUAUAAUUUUUUUUCUUUUUAAAAUGUUUGUAUUUACACAUGAUACAGUGUGUGAGCUUCUUCUAGCUAGUAAAUAUAUCUAUGUUCUUUUUUUAUUAGUUAAAGUUGUUUAUACCAUACUUAGGGCAUCCGUAUUUAGACCUCGUAUGAAUACUCAGGGGACUCAAAUGUAAUUAUGUAAUAAAUGGAGGGGCACAUAUGUAAUAAGUGAGGAGCCCUUAUUCUAUAAAAGGACCCCUCACCCUCACAAUUGGGGGAGACCAAUUCCUAGGCCCUCUCAGAGCCUCACUCUCAUUACAGAGGCCCUCACACUCUCUCCCUCACAAUCCUCUCAGAAAUACAAUAUCAGUGUGGACGUAGCCCAAACCUUGGGGUGAACCACGAUACAUCCUGUGUUAUUUACAUUUCUUGCAGAUUCACGGUCGGAUUUACGUUGUUCCAAGACCUCCAGUUUUAUGCAUCAACACUUGGCGCCGUCUAUGGGAAACGAUACAAAAAGUUGUGUCGGUUCUCUUUCAUUUUUUCACCUCCACCGUGAAUCUGCAAAAAUCUGCAAAAACCCAGAAACAGAAAAGAUCAAGAUCUCAAAUCACUCAUCUCUCUCUCUCUCUCUCAAAGAAACACAACCAAGCUAAGAAAAAGCCAAUCCAUCCAUCUACAUAGAAAGAACUCAUUUUGAGUCUAAAUACAAAGGAGAAGCUUUAGCUAGCAUUCCUAAACACAUACACUCCUAUAUACUACCAAAAAAAAAAUCAAACACGAGUUAUACCAUAUAACUCUUACAAUAUCCGGGUCUUUGGGUAGAGAAUAUCUCUGAUGGGUUGGAGAUCAGCCAUGGCUGCCAAAGCCCAAGGUGACAGUGAAGAUGAUGAUCCUUGUCGUGCGGGCCCAUGGUGCUCGACACCCUCAUCAAGGUCAAGAAGGAGAUUGUGAUGGGAACGCCGACGCCGAGUCUCCAAAAAGCAAUGGCAAUAUUGGCGCAAGGGAUUAUGAUGGGAAACAGCUUAAAGCAUCGACUAGAUGCAGAGAUGAGAGUGCCCGUGAGUCGAAAGCUGAAAUCUGGAAGGUCCAGUUCAGGUUCUGAGCUAUUACUCAUAUCAUCUCAACAAACAGCGGAGCUCCGCUGUCGGUCCUACCCACCGCUUCCAGCGGAACGCUAGGCCACCACAUGACUCGGUGACUCAUCAAAAUCGGAGCCCAUGAUGUCUUUUCCGUUCCCAGCGACUUCAACUUAACGCUUCUCGACCACCUAAUCACCAAGCCCGGCCUUAACCUCAUCGGCUGCUGCAACGAGCUCAAAGGCGGUUAUGCUGCUGACGGCUAGGCGUCCGAAUCCGAGAGGCUCCAUUUGUGGCGUUCCGACAGUCCAGGUGAGCUGAUGCGGAGGCGGUGGGUGACUUGGAACUUAUGAGUUUCCAAGUGGACACGGGUGUACUAGAUCCGUCCCUCUUCCCAACCAGAAUCGCCUGCUUGAAUCUAUAAGUUCUGGAUGAUUGACGAUGACGACAACAUCGAUGACAAACAACCCCGCUUCUAGAUUUUUCCAUGGAUCAUCAAAUCCCCAGCAAGGUCGCCAUCUCCUUCCUCCGCCCUGUGAGUUUAUCUAUGUACUUCUUGCUGCCGUCUGGGAGUGUAUUUCGCCUUCAUCAUAUACCAAUGGUAGAAACCUGGCAUUUUUAUAUCGGAGAACCCAUAACGAUUAGGAGAUCUGCCCAACUACCAGUCCGCUGACGAUGAGCUCUCCGAUUACAAGAAGAGAACUUCGGCAAGGAUUCUGACCAAACCUUGUUAUUCUGACAAAACCAGGCCCAUUUUGUUCCGCCUUCAAGCUAUCUGGACUUGGCUUGAGCCUUGCAUGCUUGAUUUCAUGACUGCUGCUAUGAAACCCGACGAAAACCUUUUAUGGGCCCGUGAGAUUCUAGCCAAACUCGAUUUUUCCAGCCACCUAGAGGCUCUCUAGUACAAGCUUAUUUGGAUCAACAAAGGCUCAUCAACAUGGCUACUGAGCCUUGAAAAGAGGGAAAGUCCUGCCGACAAAAAAAUCAGAGAAUGAGCGAGGAGAGCACAUGGGGCAUGCACUUUCUUACCCACCAUAUGGAGGCCAAAUCUAGUCUGGUUGGUAGUGAGCCUUGAAAAGAGGGAAAGUCUUGCCGGCAGAAAAUUCAGAGAAAGAGCGAUGAGGGCACAUGGGAAACAAAAACAAAGCAACAAAGGUGCAGAGGAAAGGCAAAAGCAACAUAAACAUUCAUAAACAUCACUCAUGUCAACAUACAUGAGCAUCACUCAUGUCAACAUCCAUGAGCAUCACUCAUGUCAAUCAGCUUCAAAAGCUUCAUUUACAAAAGCUCUAGCUUCAAAAGCUUCAUUUACAGAUGUCUAGCUUCAAAAGCUUCAUUUACAGAGCUUCAGCUUUAAAGCUUCACUUGCAAAGCUUCACCUACAAAGCUUCAGUGCAGGGUAUAAAAAUAUCGCCUUUGAACAACCGCCACUUCGGCCCACACAUGGAUUCAAUCUGAAGUCUUCAGCCAACAGACUAUAUUGACUGAAGACUUGGGGGACUACACUAUACACCAUAUAUUGGGACUUAACUGGGCCUCAUGAAAAAUACUUGGGGGACUUAGCCCAUUAUUUAUGUACUGAGGAGCGAGCCCUUAUUCUAUAAAAGAGACUCCCUCACCAUCAUUAGAGAGCAUCGCCGCUAGCUGAGCAACCGACUCGCCGCGAGUAUCACUCCUAGCCCAUCACUUAUGUAUUGCAGUGAGGAGCCCUUAUUCUAUAAAAAUGACUCCCUCACCAUCAUUAGAGAGCAUCGCCGCCUACUGAGCAACCGCCUCGCCGCGAGCAUCAACUCUAGCCCAUCAUUCAUGUAUUUAGGAGCGAGCCCUUAUUCUAUAAACGGGACUCUCUCACCUUCAACGCCACAAGCCGAGCCAACCAAGGCAACAUAAGCCACGAGCCGAGCAACCUCACAGCAUGUGCUACUUCUAGUUGAGCAUCAUUUCAGAUUAAGUACCGCCUCAUAUCGAGCAUCAGUUCAAGACAACAUCUAGUUACUUCAGCCCACACAUGGACUGAAUUUCAAGUCCCUAGCCAAAAGACUCUCUUGACUGAAGACUUAGGGGACUACUGUUUAUACCAUACUUAGGGCCUCCGUAUUUAGACCUCGUAUGAAUACUCAGGGGACUCAAAUGUAAUUAUGUAAUAAAUGGAGGGGCACAUAUGUAAUAAGUGAGGAGCCCUUAUUCUAUAAAAGGACCCCUCACCCUCACAAUUGGGGGAGGCCAAUUCCUAGGCCAAUUCCUAGGCCCUCUCACCCCCCUCUUAGAGCCUCACUCUCAUUACAGAGGCCCUCACACUCUCUCCCUCACAAUCCUCUCAGAAAUACAAUAUCAGUGUGGACGUAACCCAAACCUUGGGAUGAACCACAAUAAAUCCUGUGUUAUUUACAUUUCUUGCAGAUUCACGGUCAGAUUUACGUUGUUCUAAGACCUCCAAUUUUGUGCAUCAACAAAAGUAAAACUAUUUAUAUGCUGCCUCGUGUAACGUACGUGAAUGUGAAUCAUGUGAUAUUCAAGCCUUCAUUAGCUAAUUGCCACGUGUUAUGGACACUUUUGAGGUGCUUCAUAUAUGCCACUUAAAUAAAAUAAUCUGCUCUUUCUAAUACUAGUUUGAAACGUAUAAACAUGACUUAGGACCGUGUGCUUAAAUUAACCCAAUUAAAUUAGUUAGUAUGUACACUGCAGAUUCUUUUAGAAUAUUUUGUUAACAAAAAGUAGGGCUAGUAUAAUGACACUAAACAUUUCUAUCUAGCUAUGAUGUUUGUUUAGAUGUUAAUGCUAAAUUCCGAUCAAGGUCUAAAAUAUCGAUGAUAUCGGAAAUAUCGGAAAUAUCAGUAAUUCAAAAACACGGAAAUUUCAAUGGAAAUAUCGGGAUAUUAUCGAUAUCGAUAAAAAUUGAAUAAAAACCACAGAAAUUGUAAAAAAAACUUGGAAAUUUUUAUUGAAACUUUGCAGAAUGUUUAUUUAGUCAAUUAUCUAUUAGUUUAUCACAAAAAAUUGGAAGGAAAUGCAUUGCAUGAUGAAUUUAACUGAUUUAAGUUAAUUAUAGCGAGCUGGCAAACAUUGUGGGUGUAGAAAAUAUGUAGUAAUUAAUGAAAGAAGUUUAAACACACCAUAAUCAUUUAUAUAUAAUGAAUUAGCACAAUAUUUUACACUUUAUACAUUGCAUGGUAAGAUACAUGAGUGACUUAGUACCACAUAGAGUUCCUAUCAAAGUCUAAAAUAUCGAUGAUAUCGGAAAUAUUGGUAGUCCAAAAACACGGAAAUUUCGAUGGAAAUAUCGGGAUAAUAUCGAUAUUUUAGACCAUGAUUCCGAUAUACUGGCGAUAAGAGUUCAUUUUCUUACUUAUUUCAAGUUGUACAACAAAUUACAUCUAGUCAUCUACACACAACAAAUUACUGCUACAAAAAUCGUAAGAUGUAGGGCAGCUAAAAACUAUCCUCUAUGAUUAAAUUGGACAAAUUCUAAGAGUCUUAUAUGCCAGUGUCCUCCAUUCUCAUAGGUAGAACUUGUUUGGAUGUGCUUUUAAAAUGACUAAAAGCGGUUUUAGAGAAAAAAAAAUUUGAUUCCAAAAGCACUUAAAGUGUUUUCUACAAUAAGUAUCAGUUAUGUGUUUCUUCCAAGAAGCACUUUAAGUGUUUUUCCAGAAUUUACUUACAUUUUUACUAAGGAUUGGUUCCAAACACAUUUUUACUAAAAGUGUUUUCAAUCAUUUUAAAAGCACAUCCAAACGAGCAUAGUCUUUAGAGGAGAGUUUAAAUUGUCCAAUAAUCCGUUAAAAAAAUGUUCCAAUCUAUCUCUUCCUCGAAUAAAUAAAUAAAUAAAAAUUAUCCCGGUUUCCUCUCUUUGAUUAAUACUAAUGUAAGCAUGUUUUGUGCCAACAAAGAUUUGAUUGAUUAUAUAAUUAAAUUAAUAAUUUUCAGUAAUAUUUUGGAUUUGGUCACUAGCAAACUACGUACCUCCGGUCAAAGAAAAGCCGCCGGGCAAUAGCAUGUGCAGCUUGAGACCACAUUUUUCUCUCUGCCUUGCCAAACCGACUAGCAACCUUUAGUUCCUAUUGUUUGUUUCACACGGUAUAUUGGCUUCAAACUUGACCUUUAAUUAACUUCGUAAUUCAAAUAUGGUAGUCAGGCCAUAAUGCACAAAACCAGAAUAAUAGAAUUUCGGGGUACAAUCUUAUGAUGAUUUUAUUUGUAUCUCAGCGGAGGUAUACAUUAAUAUUUACAUGCGUGAAGAGCAAGUAACCUAAUACAAAUCAAACACACAACCAUCUUAAUUAACUAGAAUAUUCAUACUUGGAAAUUAACAUGGAUAACAGAUUAAUUAAGGGGUCCUUUCCAUUACAAGGAAUAAAUCAAACUUUUUGAAGAAAGUUGAGGUAUUACCGUAAAACCAAUUAUAAAUAUAGAGUUAGCACAAUUACUUAAAAGCACAUUCAAGGUCCCUCAUUUUCUUGAUGUGGGAUUCAUACUUUCAACUUGUCCUUUCAAUGUGACGAAUUUUCAAGUUUAUCAUGUGGACAACAGAAAUCGGAUAAUGCAAAGCACAUGUGACCGUUGAGCUUCACAAUUGGAAUAAAUUGCUCUGAUACCAUGAAGAAAGUUGAGGUUCCACUAAAAUCAAUUGUCAAUAUGAGGAGGAGCCCAAUUACUUAUAGCACAUGCCAGGUCCUCGAUGUUUAGGGUUUAGGGUUUAAAGAUUAAUUAAAGGGGUCUAUUCCAUUACAAGGAAUAAAUCAAACUUUUUGAAGAAAAUUGAGUUUCCACCAUAAAACCAACUAGUAAUAUAAGAAGUAGCCCAAUUAUUUAUAAGCACUUGCAAGAUCACUCAUUUUCUUGAUGUAGGAUUCAUAUUCUCAACACUUUUACACUUGUCCAUUAGCCGAAGGCCGAAAACUAAUGUGGAAAUAAAUAAACAUGUAUUGAAAAGAGUGAAUAUGAAUGUACAAAUUCAAAUUCCCUAUAAAAUUGUUACAAGGAAUAAAAAUAAAAAGAAACCAGUGUAUCCUGUAACAUUUGGACUUGUAAUUAGGUCAAGUAUACCAUUAUUCUUCCGACUUCAAUAGAUUUGUGGCAACUUCAAGAGUUCGCAAAAACUCAUGCUUCAAGAGUUUGAAAAUUUUCAGGUGCUUGAUGUUGGGCUUCUCUUUUACCUUCAUAUCCUCACAAUUAGUCUCAUUAUUUAGGAAUAUCCGUAGCCACACCAAAUCGAACCAUGAGACGAGGGUAAGCAGAAGCAUGAUGAUGAGGCAGACCACGGCCUGCAUAGUUCUUGACCUUGAGUGGGCAGCCCGAUCCGCCCGUGCCAGGAAUGUAGGUGCACUUAGACGACUCAUCAGGAGGCAGCUGACCUCUUUGAAGAGACUGCAGGCUGAGCUCUUCCCUCUUUUUGGCAUAUAGAAUCCUGCUAGCUUCGUUGGGGUGUACGUGUGCAAGACAAAGAAGCAACAGCAGCACAGCCAAAGCAUUGAUGUUUACCAGCCCCAUAAUAUUUUUUACGUAUGGUAUAGUAUUUCGGGUUUCGGAAUUGAAUCGGUUGAAAUAUUUUAGAUUGUUUGGGCUCAGAAUCGAUUGGAAUCAGAUUUUCCUAUCACCCCUAGUACUGAGAUAUGUCGACGUACGAGGGAGUUGUGGUAUUUAUAGCUAAAUCCAUCGAGGAACUUUGUUACUAUUUUAUUGAUUUGGAGGGAUUUGACUGCCGACUACUGGUUUUAAUUUUUUAAUUCAUUCUUUUAGUCUCCAAGUGCAGCUCAACAAAAUUGAAUAGGUCAUCAAAUGCAAUUAACUAAAGCUUAAGGGAGAAAAUGUGAGCUUAAUCCCAAGGUUUUGCUUUCUACCCUUCUUUGUCAAAGCCUCAAAUUCAUUUAAUAUAUUGAUGACUAAGCAGAGUGUUACGGGUCUUUGAUGAUUAAGAAUUGUGCUUUCUUUCCCUUCACGUACACUCUCAACCAUCGUUUUUAUUUUUAUUUAUUAAACCUUCAUCCAUUGGUUAAUUUAUGAAAUAUAUGAAAAAGUCUAGUAGUUCUUCCGUGUACUCAAAAUUCUGUCAUGUCACAUUUUAUUCAACUUAGAUUAUAAUACCUAAAUUUGUUUUUUUUAUUAAUAUACUCUACAAGUGAAACAUAACAAUCAUAUUGUUUACCUUUAUAAUAACACGUAAAAUGAUACAACAUAUGACUUGUAUUUCUAAUAAAUAUAAAAAAUUCUCCAAUAAAUAUGUGAUUUAUAUUCAAAUCAUUUGUGGUACAGGGAAAUUUCCGGGACUUGACACUUAGGCCAAUAGCACUAGUCAAGUUCUCCCAUUUAAAAAAAAAAAAAGGAAUUUUAACGAAAAGCUUCUGGUACUGUUCAUUUUAACGAAAAAACACAUUUUUACACUAAAAAGUCAAUCCUAGUACUAUUCACUUUACCCUUUUAUUUUGUCUUUAUCAUUAAAACUCAAAAUUUUCUAACUCUUUUCAUUAGUUUUUCUAUAAAAAUAAAAAAAUAAAAAAAAAAGGCAAACAUAAAAUACACUCUGAAGUCGUCCAUUACGAUACGCAAAAUUCCAGUUCUAAAUGGGACUAUUCUCAACACAUACAUAUCCUAGUAGGAACAGAAGAGAUUUUGUCAAACUUUUCACGUGACAUAACGUACAUGUCUGCAUCCUGUGACAUAUUUGAUCUUAAAACUUUACAAAAAAAAUCUUGAACGUAACCGGUUUAUUAUUUCCAUCUUUCUCUCCCACAUGAUGAAAGAAAAUAAAUGACAUAGCAAAAUAGUUACAUGGUAGAAUCCAAUGUUCUAAAAGACGUUAGGCGCUAGUCGGACAGCAGACUGGGGCUUAGCUCCUAGGCGGCUAAGCAGGGCCUAAACGAGCGUCUAAGCGGAUUUAAGUAAAUUUAUUAUAUUUCAUGUAAAUAAGUGGUUGUUUAUACUUAAAAUAUAUAUAAUUUCAUCAUAAACUACAAAAUAAAAUGACACAUAUAUUAUGAAGUAUUGGAACAUAAUGAAAACAUAGAGAACAAGCCUAUAAUAUGUUUUCAUUUAAGUACUCAACAAUUUUCUUACAAUUUAUUGAAAAAUAUAUAAUUUAAAAUGAAAGUUAUCUAUUUACUGUCUAAGUGAGUUGCAACCUAGGCUGGUGCCUAAACGGUCUAGGCGAGCGCCUCAUCAGAUUUAGGCGUCAUUUCUUAAUUUUCAAACGCCUAGGCAUUAAUUAGGACAGUGACCAGCCGCCUAGCGCCUAGGUGGCGCUAGGCGGAGAUUUUUAGAACAGUGAUAGAAUCUCUCCUCUAGUAAGAUCUAUUAAUUUUUACUUAGGCGCUAGGCGGAGAUUUUUAGAACAAUGAUAGAAUCUCUCCUCUAGUAAAAUCUAUUAAUUUUUACUUGAAACCAAACAUUUCUCACUAGUCCGGCCAAAGGUAUGCAUUUUCAGCAAUUUUGACAACUAGUAGUCAAAGUUUAAACCAUGUACUCUUUUCAGAAGGUAAAUGCUCAUGGUUUUUAUGGGUCUGCCGGAAAUUGUGUGCCGGGUACCACCUGAUAGCACGACGCACCCGAGACCACGAGGCACCUAGCGAAUACAAGCCUGAUAUAUUUCGGGGACAACAUAACAAUAGUAAGAGAUUUUCACUCAAUGUGGUCGGACAAAAAGUGUUCUCAGUAAAAAUUUGAAGCCUGCUUCGUCAACCAAGAACCAUGAAAGCCCAGGAUAAAUCAAACCUUCAUUUCUAACUUAAGAAAAGGGUAGAAGCAACUCUUUACAAAUGUUUUCUUAUGAAAAAGAUUACACCCUCACUCCAAAUGUAAUGACCCAGCAAUUUCCUCGAAUACAUUAUUACAACGGACAGUGACCCGCUAAUUUGUGGGCAGGCUCCGUCGUUCGUUCAUUCUCUUCACUGACCGUUAGCAGGCCGGAAUACAGUGUAACCAUUCACCCCGGAUGCCAUAUUCGAAUAUUCUGGAUUGUAGUAUGGGUAACCAUCAGGUUCUGUGUUCCUCAUGCCAAGCUGCGACAGAUCAGAACCAGCCAUUGCCCACUGGUUAGGAACUAACCCAUCAAUCUGCCCAUUCACAUAAGGCAGCGGACCAGCUUGCGGAGUAAAUUCCCUAAGUGGUUCGAAGUGGCCCCCUAAUGUGUAGCCCCUCUGGAACCCAUCAUCCUGGUAACUCCGUGUUCUCUCAAACCUACAAGAGCUGGUUGCAGAACCCAUGUCGUUAGAUAUGCCCAAAUCACCAGGGUAAGAAAAUUGCCGACUUAAGUGGCCUGGCCCAUUACCAAAGGAGUGGAAUACAGGGCUUCCUCUAGCUGCACCAAAGCCGUGUUCAUCAUCAAGCAGAUCAUUGAUGAUAUCAAGGUGUGGGAACUCAUCUGCCGAUACACCUUGGGUCUCGCGCCCGGAUGUACAGGCUGGGAACUCAAUGGCCAAGUGUUCCCUUUGCCCACCUUGUAAAGGAUGGAAGUAGUCAAAAUUUUGAUCAUUAAGCAGGGAGGAAGGAUCAUAGUUCAUGCCUUUGCUCGAUUCCCUUUGAGAACUAUCCAUCCACUGGGGUUCAUUAUGCAACACAUCCCGAGUUACCAUGCCAAAUGGGAAGCCUGACUUACGUGUGCUUGGGUCCAUCAUUUCAGAGCUCUUAGGUAAGAACAUUGGGGCAGAUGCCAAGGCCAGUGAGUGAGAGUAUACUGGCGAUGGGCUCACACCUGAACUUGGAGAGUUAGUAUGUGUGAGACCAAUUGAGCCUGAAGCAACAUGGUUACCCAGUAUGGCGUUUCUAUAUGACUGGGGAACAUAACUAUGAGUUGCUGGUGAUGGGUCAGGACCCAACCGGCCAGCUGCGCUUACUGAACGGGCAAGCUGAGGAGCAGUUUGAGCUUGAACUGUAUGCACAACAGUAGAAGUAGGCCUCAGACCAGGAACAAGAGGAGCACUGGAAGGCCUAGACAUCACAGGCAUUUGAUGUUCCAUGGCUUUUUCAGCUGGCGUUGGAGUUGUAGCUUUCUGAUUCUGAGGUUUGGACAUGCCAUUAUUCUGCAGUAAAGUAGUCAAAGGUACCACUCUCUCAGUCUGUUGUGCGCCACUGGAGGAUCCUUUUCUAAGUGGACUAGAUUCUACAACCGGACUACUCUGGCUCUCUGACCUCGGCUGACCAUUCAGGGGCACAUCUUUAGGAGGGCUUCCAGGAGAGGAUGUUACUGCUGGUGUCUUGUCUUUCAAAGGUCUUUCUAGAUCAACCUCAUCUUUGAUACUCAAUUUUUUCUGCAGGGAUACAACUUCUUCCUCCUAUUACACAACAUGCAAACAACUGUCACUCAGGGAAAGUAACGAAAUUGCAAUUUAUGCUGAUAAGUGUACUUUUAUGAUAUGUUAAUUAUGAGGAUAGCAAGGAAUAAUGAAAAUAUCGCAAAUGCAACAGGAAAAAUUAGGGGCACUGUGACUUUUAAAACCAAUUAUGGGGUUAAAAAUACAAGUGACGGGCCAACAACAGCAACAAGGAACUCUUCAACACUCAGGGAACACUAUAAAAAUUAUAUGAAAAAAAAUUCCCACCUUAACAACGUGCUGCUCCAGCCAUUUAAUCCGAUCCUGCAAUGAGUGAGCAGCAGGCUCUGACUCAGAUUCACCCGCCUUACUACUUCUUCUAGAAACAUCAUUCUGAUACCCUACGUCCUCUACAGGUGCAGAAGGCUGAUUAUCCGUCUCAUUUGGCCAACUAUUCCCGUCACUUGUUGCCUUAGUGCGUUGGUGUUUCCCCCUGCAAUUAUGAAUUUGGUAAAUUGAUACGGUACCUUAUAGAACCAUCAACUUCGGAGCACAAUAAGUAAGCUAUAUAUUUACCUGCUAGGUGAUUUCUGGUUUUUGUAGCUAGAAAAUGAGUUCCCCUUGUAUGGCCCAUUCAUUACCACUGAUGGGACGGAAUCCGUAGAACAUGUUGAGGAACUAUCGUCCAUCACAGAUGAGCUCUUUCUUUCAGAUACCCCAUUUUGCACAGAUGACAGUCCACUAAUACCACUGCUACUGGCUUCUGUGGGAGGAUGGACUUCUGAUGUGUCAGUAUCCCAAUUUAUUGGACCAGCAUCUCUGUCUUCAGAAUCAAGCGGAGGUGAUUCAGCAACACCAUCCACUGAAUCAGACACGUCAGAUACAUCUUCCACUGUAUCCAGCUUUUCGAGUACAGGUUGUUCUUCAUCCGGUGUGUAGUCUUUCAUUUCUUCAGUAGGUGGUGGCUUUAAAAAACCUCGUAAAUUGAUUUGGGUUACAGGUGUGGUUUUGGGUGUAUUGACCGCAUCUUCUUCUUGUUUCUCUUGUGCUUCUACAUCAGGCCUUUCCUCCCUCCCUUUGUCCUUACCCUUCCGGUUGUUCUUUUUCUGUUUAGCCUGUAGAAAAGAAGCAAGGGAGGGGUGUGAGCGAUCAAAGGGAAAAAAAUAAGAAAACAUUUUUGACAAAUGCAACCACCGUUUCCCCUCAUUACAAUGGUUUCAAUUUCAAGUAAGAUGUUGACAGAAAAGCAGCAGCCAUAUAACAGAUUAUUGUUUCCACCCUAAAGCUGGGAACAGAAUUUUUUUUCAACUAUCUGAAGGACCAAAAUAGAAGAUUAGAAGGUAAGAUUAGUAAAAACAGGAUCCCACUUGACAGUCUCGUUUUCAAAGUUGCAAUACAGGAACAAUAUGAACUAUGAAGUAAAAGAUAACAUUGUUCAGAAAGACACGCCCCCUAUCCAUGAAAAUAGACUUGGGCAACAUUUGUAAACAUAUUCAUUCCAAUAAAGGCUACUAGAAAAACUUUCAAAUCCCAUGAGGCUGCCCUUUCCCACAUAGUAAUACUAAAAGAAUUGUGCUUUUAAAUAUCCGUUUGGUGAUUUUAAUUUUAAACGAGAGAAAAGGAAUUAAGAUGUUAUUAACAAAUUCAGCAGUCCAGCUGAUAACUGUUGAGGACAUAAGGUGUUAGACUCCACUACUGAUUCACAUUAAUAGGACAGUUUGGGAUAUCAUAAUCAUCUAAACACUCUGAAAUGUCACAUUUGCAUUCUAAACAAGAUAAUACAUAGAACAGAAUCAAACCUGUUUUUUCUUGGACUUCUUUUCCUUUUCAGUAGCUCCUCGCUUUGCCUUCUGCUCACUUUCAGCCUGCCAAGCUGCUUCUUCCUCACGGAUGAGUUCCUCUUGCCUCUUCAAUGCAACAGAUUCAUGAUAGGCAACUUCAAUUUUAUUGCUGCAUGUAAAUAGGACAAAGAAUGAUACCAUCAAUAAGAAUAGGUAAGUAAAUAUGAUCAGCAUGUCAAUGUUGAAAAGAGUGAUGACCAAUUGGUUCUCUUGGUCCAAAAUUAUCUACAAACACCCACUAAGAUAAUAUUCAUAAUCCAAAAUGCUUAUAUUUGAAUUCCACUAAUGAAAAGUGGCUAACUUCAUUAGACCGCCAAAUGCACCCUCUUUAUCCAACAAUAAGAUAAAAUAAGCCCAAAACAAAAAGCACUGAUUUUUCCAGUAGGCAAAGAUUCCAAUUAUAAAUCCAUUCCACAUCACAAGGGAGAUGACAUUAACUAGAUAAUACUCAACAAUUUGUAAACAAAUUUACCAACAAUGAAAAACCACAUCUUACUCCUUAUGCGUACUCAUAGUACAGGACAUGGCAUGCCAGGAACCGCAAUCCUUAAUGCGUACCAAUAAUUCGUCAUAACUCUACCUAUUUCAAUUUGUGUAGUAUACCAGGAACCGCAAUCCUAAAAGAAACAUGGCAUGCCACGUCCUAUGAAAGAAAAUAUAUAAAUGAAAAUUUGAUGGUAGCACAAUAAUAACAACCAAAAUUUUCACUAACAGAUAAAUCAUAAAUCGUAAGUCUCCUACCAUUUAGUAUGAAACAUAUCCACAAUAUAUGAAGUAGGAUUCAUAACUGAUUUAAUGUAAAGAAGGCCAAGAGACAAUCUUCAAAUAUUGCAUAACCAAGAAAAGAAUAUAUUAGGGCUGACAGAAGACCUGAAAAUAUGAGCAAGGACAAAUAUUUCUACAGUCCUACGACCCAAUUCCGUAAGACGUUUUUCAUCCCGCUCAAUAGAAUCUUUGUUGAAGUCCUCCCCGGAAUUUCCAUCCUGCAGGAAUAGCAGAGUGAUUUUUCAGAAAUCAAGCAGUUAAAAGAGUGGAAAAUAGAACAAAUUACACAUCCGCACCAACAACUAUAAUAUGUUCCUUAUUUACUACAUUCCUAAUCAUAUUAAUUUUGCACUCCCUUGAAGGCUUGAAGUGAGAGAUAUGUGCUAUUCAGAAUCGUUCUAAUCACUAAAACACCAUCAUCUAUAGAUCUUUGCCCUUCAAACAAGUUUUGAUUAGAACAACAAAAUGCUUGAAACUUCUUACAAAUCAUAUUUUUGGUGAGUUUACAAAACAUAUUUUCUAGUGAGUUAACCAGUCAGUGAACAGUGAACAGCGCAGAGCGCUGCUAACAAUCAAGAUAUACUAAACUACUCAAAUUUCUAAAGGGAAUAACAUCUUUCGAUGUAUCCACAUUUACGAUAGCAUUGAGGAGAAGCAUAAUUCACGCCAAGCAUUGUGAGUAUAAAGGGUAUAGAGUUUCCUUUAUAUGGUCACAAGGUAGAAAGAACUGUUAACCAAAAUCCUUGGUUGAAAUGAACUUCUUGUGCUUAGACAAGUAUUUUCCUAACCGGAUACUGAUUCCCAAUAUCCCGAGCAUAAACGAUAUAGCUGACAAUAUGAAAUAUUAACGUAAAAGAAGAAAUGAAUCCUCUAUACCAUAUAACCAACAAUCGGGACUUAAAUGCGACAGACCAACCAAGCCAAACAUCACUGUUUAGAAUAGGAUGUCAGCUACUCACUUUUGUACGAUUUUGAGGACCCUUCUCAUCUUUUGGAGGUAAUGGUUCCAAGGCAGCCCUCUCAAGUAGCAUCAGAACAUCAUCCACCAAUACAAACAUAUCUUUCUCUACAUGAACAAUUGGUGCUGGCAUUUCUUCAGCAUCCAAUAGUUUCACCUUACUUUUCUUGGACUUGGUUUGACCUUCAAGAGCCUUUAAACCACUAUACAAUGAGUCCAUUACCAACGUAGAUGUGACUUCUUUCUCAAUAAAAAAGUGCUUAACAACUACUUUCAGGACUGCAUCCAUCUUCUCCCUGGACAUACAGCGCCUGGCAUUUUGUUCAAUUCCCACCCAGAAGGAGCAGAAGCUGCAACGACAAUAAAGGAAAUGCUAUCAAGAAAUGAAGAGCAUGUAACCACUACUAGAAGCGAGUAAAUGACAUAUGUACAAACAUGCAGACAGACAUGCGUAGAAGAACCCACAUGAACCCAAGGUAACCAUAUUACUAAAAAAUCCAGCAGAUACAGCAAAAAAUUCCAUCAAAUUCAUGCCAAGUCACAUUUACAAGAACCAUAAAGCACUGUAAAGGUAAGCUCAAACCAUUAUGUCUUCCAAAAUAGGGCAUUGUAUAGUAAGCUCUAGUUGUGAUCAUUCCAAACUGUAACUUUACAGAAGUUCCAAAAGCAAAGACAUACCUUGACCAUCUAGCUUUAUCCUCGAUCAAUUUUCCGAGUUUGCUUCUUCUCUCUUCCACAAAACGACGGCAAAUUUGCUCUACAUUUGUCAAGUAUACCCUAACAAGCUCUCUCCUAUAUUGACAAUCAAGGCAGCGAAAGGGCCGGUCUGCUUUCUCCCUACAAAACCAGAAGCAAAGAAUAGAAAUGCUUACAAACACAAAUAACGUGCAUGAAUAUUAAAACACAGAAGUGCUUGUCAAAACGAUAUUCAGCCACCAAAGAUCAAAGUGUGAGUUUAAAAGGGGAGCUUUAUAGUAAACUGGAUUUGAAAACACAAAAGGACAGCAGAAGAGGAUGCACUUCAAGUUAGAUUAGAAAUCCUACAUGUCUAUUUGGAAUUGGAAAGGAAGUCUAAUUUCUUAUUCCAGUUAAAAUAGGAGUUAUAAUCUGUAAAGAACAUGUAAACUGCGCCCUAUGCCUAUAAAUAGGGUGCGGCAAGGCUUUAAACAGUGUGAGAAAAUCUGUGACAGCCGAGAGAAGAGAGAGAGAGAUAAGUUCUAGGGUUUGCAAAAGUACUAUAUACUCUAUUUUAAUGGAAGAAGCCGUGAUUUCUCUACCCAGGAAAAACACAAUAGGACAUAGGCAAAAGUUCUGCCAAACCAGUAUAAGUCUUGUGUGUUUUCUAGUUUUCUCUAUUUUGCUAAGUUUUAGCCUAUUGCCGAAUACAGCAAAGAGCAAGAUCCAGAGAGUUAGAAUUUUAACAAUUGGUAUCGGAGCUUGGUUCAAGGUGUUCUACAAUGUCAAAAGGAAAGGCCGCGGACCUAGGGCCUACGUUAAAACCUUUUGAUGGCAAGGAUGACUUCAUGGACCAGCAAAUGAUGAUGAAGAAUGUACUAAUACAACAGGAUUUGGAUGAUGCACUCGUUGGUGAGAAGCCUGCUACCAUGACAGCAGAGGCAUGGACUAAGGUUCUGAAGAAGGCCAAGAGCUCCAUCGAGAUCCAUCUCACAAGAUUAGUCAGGUCCCCACAUCACAGAAAAGAUGAUUGCUCAGGAAGCAUGCGAAAAGUUGGAGAAUGUUUAUAUGGGCAAAACCAUGUCCAAUGAACUUUUUCUCAAUGAACUAUUCAGGCUUUGAGUAGAAGGAGGUGAUAUUGAAGAUCACGUAUGCCGGUUUCAGAAUUGCAUAGCCAAUCUUCAGAAGGUCGAAGAAACUUACAAAGAUGAUGAUAUGGCUAUCAUCUUGCUGAGGUCUCUACCUUCAUCUUUCAAGCACUUUUAAACAACUCUAAUGUUUGGAAAGGAGUCCCUGAAAGGCUUGAAUGUCUUUCAGUGAUACGCUAAACUGGAUGAUAUAAUUGAUAGCUCUCAAAGCCUUUAUGUCAUAGGGAAGGAGAGGGGGUGGGAAAAGACAAAGGAAGAGAAAGUCGGUAACAUGGGUUGGUCAAAAUCCAAGAAAAAAAAGGAAAAGAAGUAAGGUUGCUUUGAAUGUGGUUCUGCCAACCAUUGGAAGAGGAACUGCAAGAUUUGGAAAGAGAAGAAAGCCAAGAUGGAAGGAAGCUCAGGGUCAACUAGUACAGUCACUAAGCAACAACGUGACGGGAGCUUCUUUCAAUAACAGGCUCCAAGGUUUUCACAAGUUGGAUUUUGGAUACCGAAGGCACAUUCCAUAUGUGUGCAGUAAGAGAAUGGUUCGAUACUUACAUGGAGGUCAGUAGCGGAGAAGUUUUAAUGGGGGACGAUUCACCAUGUCCAAUAAAGGGGAUCGGCACUGUUAGAAUCAAAAUGCUUGAUGGAGUGAUACGAGCUUUGGGGAACAUCAGAUAUAUCCCUAGACUGAAGAAGAAUUUGAUUUCCUUGGGUACUUUAGAUAGGGCCGGCUAUGGGUACCAUUCUAAAGCAGGAAGACUCAAGGUAACUAAAGGAUCACAGGUGGUAAUGCAAGGUGACCUACAACACAAUGAGGUACAACUAAUUGGGACUACAUAGAAGGGGGAGCAACCGUUUCCACAAGGUAAAGUGAAGAAGACGACUAAACUCAGGCACAUAUGCCAAAAGGGGUUGCAAGAAUUGCACAAGAAAGGCUUGUUGGAAGGCGUGUCACAUUGCAAGCUAAACUUUUGUGAACAUUGUGUUCUCGGAAAGCAAAUGAAGGUAUCAUUCUCAAGUAGUAGUGCAUAUAACCGAAGCAAGGAGCAACUCAGCUAUAUUCACUCAAAUGUUUGGGGCCUGCACCAACUAAAUCCAAUGGUGGAGCUAGGUAUUUUGUUACUUUCACGGAUGAUUUUUCCAGGAAAGUUUGGGUUUAUUUCAUGAAGCAGAAAUCCAAGGUUUUUGCAAAGUUCAAGGAAUGGAGGACAGAAAAUGAGAAUGAAACUGGAAGAAAGAUUAAGCACCUAAGAAGCGACAAUGGAAGCGAGUAUACAAGUAAGAAGUUUGCCGAUUACUAUAAGUAGGAAGGCAUGACAAGGCACUUCACAGUAAAGCCCCAACAAAACGGAGUUGCUAAAAGAAUGAACAAAACUCUCAUGGAGAGAGAAAGAAGCAUGCAAUUUCAUGCAGGAUUACCUGAUAGUUUUUGGGCAGAGGCUGUUAAUCAUGCAAGUUAUUAGAUUAAUGUAUCACCAUCUACAGUUCUCGGUUUUAAGAGUGCAGAAGAGGUAUGGUCUGAGAAGUAGGUGGACUAUUCCAAGCUCAGAGUGUUCGGCUGUAGUGCUUACGCACAUAUUCCAAGUGAUGAAAGGUCCAAGAUCAAACCCAAGUCUUCACAUUGCAUAUUUUUAGCUUUUGAAAAAGGAGUGAAGGGAUUCAAGCUUUGGGAUAUCAACAACAAGAAGAAGGUUGUCAGUCGAGAUGUUGUCUUUGAUAAGACAACCAUGCCCCUGAACAAAGCCGAGAGCAGUGGGAAGAAAGACGAUGUUGAAAUACAAGCAACAAAGAUUCCAUUAAUCAGUUCAGAGGAAGAAGCUCAGGUGGAGAGGAAGAAGAAGAGCAUCAACAUUGUUCACCCAUUAGGAAUCAGGUGGAGCAAGAAAUAGAGCAGAUUGAAGGCACUCCAAUCCGCCAUACACCCCAAAGGGUUCGAACUCUAACCCACAAUCCACCUGCAUUCCAGAGAUGCUCCAUAGAGGAAACCUGACAAGUUUGGGUUUGACCAAGACGAAGUUAAUUAUGCUCUUAUCAUUAGUCAAGGAGAUUCGACUACUUAUCGAGAAGCUAUAGCAAGUGAUGAGCGAGAUAGUUGGAUAAGUGCUAUGACAAAAGAAAUGGAGGUCUCUUUACAAGAACUUUGUUUGGGAGUUGGUUCCUAAGCUCAAAGACAAAAGCUAGAUAGAUGCAAGUGGGUAUUUAGGAAAAAGGAAGGACUACAUGCCGUGAGAUUCAAAGCAAGGCUCGUGGCUAAGGGGUACUCACAAAAGGAGAGGAUGGAUUACGAUGAGAUCUUUUCACCCGUAGUCAAGCAUACUUCUAUCAUAUUACUUUUAGCAAUGGCAGCUCAGCAUGACAUGGAGAUUAGGCAGAUAAAUGUGAAGACUGGGUUUCUUCAUGGGGAUCUAAAGGAGACGAUUUUCAUGGCUCAACCAGAAGGGUUUGUCAAGUAUAGUAAAGAGAACCUAGUAUGUCGGCUAAGGAAGUCCUUGUAUGGCCUAAAACAAUCUCCAAGGCAGUGAUACAAGAGGUUUGAUUCCUUCAUGCUGGAAAUUAAUUUUAGGAAAUGUUUAUAUGACUGCUGUGUCUACUAUCAUGUGUUCCAAGAUGGGAUGGGAUGAUCAUAUUGCUAUUGCUAUAUGUGGAUAACAUGCUAAUUGCUUGUCAAGACAAGUCUAGAAUUCAAGACUUGAAGAUGAUGUUGAGCGAGGAGUUAGACAUGAAGGACCUAGGUGCUGCACAGAAGAUCCUUGGCAGGAAAUUCAAAGAGAUAGGACCGCUGGAAGGAUCUGGAAAUCACAAGCCAAGUAUAUUCAACUACGAUGCACAGAUACGGCACAUCGGUCGUGUAUCACGUGUCGGAUACCCAAAUGGACGAUACGCCCCUGAUACGGCCGGAUAUGCAUUGGAUACGUAUCUAGAUCAAAGGAUAUGGCGUUUGACAGAUGGAUACAGGUAUCCAAUAGUUUAGAUACGAGUAUCCGACUGUCCGGAUACGGAUAUCUGCACCAUGGCCUUUGAUGCAAUUUCGUGGAAGAAAACCUCAUGACGGAGAUGACAAUCUGGUGGAAGGAGGCCUCGCGAAGAAGACGACGCGAUUUGGCAGAGUAAGGCAUCGCACGGAGACAACCCGAUCUAGUGGAGGAGGUUUCGCGAAGAAGAUGACUGCUAUAAGUCGACAUGUUUGUUUGUUUUGGUAGAGAAAAACAACACCACAGGUUUUUUUUUUUUUUAGGGUUUAAAUGAGACUAAAGCCCAAAACUACAUAGCCCACUGAAUUUACACCACUACCAUCCUUUCUUCUUGAGAGUUUGAAUAGUAUAAAUUAAAUUUGAGUAAUUAAUUUUUUUAUUGUUAUUAUAUUUUUUAAAUAUAUAUUUAUUAUAUAAAUUGUCGUAUCGUGUCUUAAUUUUUAAAAAUUUGACGUAUCCCCAUAUCGUAUCGUGUCGUAUCCUCGUUUCCGUGUCCAUGCAUCGUCAGAAGGUUCUUAAGAAGUUUAACAUGCAAGAAGCAAAGGCAGUUUCAACUCCUUUGGCGGCUCACUUCAGGUUAAGUGGGCAAUAAUGUCCUAAGUUCGAAAAGGAGAAACAAGCAAUGGAGAGGUGCCCUAUGCUAUAAUGUCGUGAGCUGCCUAAUGUAUGCAAUAGUAUGCACACAACCCGACAUAGCUCAAGCAAUCAAUGUCGUUUCCAGGUACAUGGCAAAUCCAAGAAAGCAACAUUGGGAUGCAGUCAAGUGGAUUUUGCGUUAUUUGAAGGGUUCUUGGCGACAAAGGAUUAUGUUUGAGAAGCAAAAAGAAAAUGCAGUGGUGUUGGGAUGUGGAUGCCGAUUAUGCAAGGACAUGGACAAGAGAAGGUCAACUUCUGGUUAUGUCUUUACAUGCUCAAGAGGACCAAUCAAUUAGAGGGCACUACUGCAACCAAUUACAACUUUGUCGACCGUAAAGGCAGAGUAUUUUGCUUUGCCGAAGCUGGAAAGGAAGCAAUUUGACUUAGUGGCUUGGUAAAUCAAAUGGGAAUCACUCAAGGAUUAUGUGAAGCUAAAAAGUGACAAUCAAAGUGCCAUUCACUUGGCAAACAAUCAGGUUUUUCAUGGAAGUUCAAAGCACAUUGAAGCAAGGCAUCAAAGAAUCAGAAAUUGGGUGGAGUCUAAGGAGAUUUGGUUGAAAAGGUUCACAAGGACGACAAUGCUUAGUGCCGACCAAGAAGUUCAAGCAUUGCUUGAACUUGAUCAAUCUCGUUGAUUGAUUAAAGUAAAGCACCUCCUCACUUGAGGUGCAAUGAGGCAAGGAGACGAUUGCCAAGGUGAAGAUUCUUGAAGAUUUCGAACGCUGCUUCAAGAAGUUUCAAAGAUACUUUGGGAAGCAACGAUCAAGACUUAGUUUGACUCACCAAGGUGGAGAUUGUUUCGUUUUGGCUCGUCAAUUAGUGUCCUUUUCUGUAUAGGAUUGUUUUAGGAAAUAAAUGGUGCACCAAUUCUUCUCUUAAAAGGGUUAGGAAAGAAUCUUAGUUUCCUUAUUCAAUUUAGAUUAGAAAUCCUAGGAGUCUAUUUGGAAUUGGAAAGUAAGUCCAAUUUCCUAUUCCACGUAAAAUAGGAGUUAUAAUCUAUAAAGGACCUGUAAACUGCACCCUAUGCCAAUAAAUAGGGUGCAACAAGGCUUAAAAGUGUGAGAUAAUAUGUGACAGCAGAGAGAAGAGAUAGAGAUUAGUUCUAGGGUUUGCAAAAGUACUGUAUACUCUAUUAUUAAUUGAAGAAGCCGUGAUUUCUCUACCCACGGAAAUCACAACUGGAUGUAGGCAAAAGUUCUGCCGAACGAGUAUAAGUCUUGUGUGUUUUCUAGUUUUCUCUAUUUGGCUAAGUUUUAGUCUAUUGCCGAAUACAUCAAAGAGCAAGGUCGAGAGAGAGUCAAAAUUUUAACAAAAAAAUCAUAAGUGGAUUCCCUUCAAUAUCACAAGAUAUAGUGCCUUCUUAGCUAUAAUGUAUCCUUGUUGAGACCUAACUACGUUACUUAUUUUCAGAUUAUAAGUCAAAAAUACAACAUUAGUGCUUCGGUAAAUCAAAUUAUAGCUUGAAUAAUCAUAGAGCACCUGAUGACUUGGACUUGCGCCUUUAUUAUAAGCGUGUCAGCAUCAAUAAACCCAUCUAAUACUUUUGACAGCUCCAUGAAUUUUUUCCAUCCCCAGUCAUGCUCUUUCUUCCAAAAGCGAUGUAAUGUAUCUACAAAAAAAGCACACUUACUCAAACGUGGUGAUGGAUAUAUUAACAACCCACUGGAACAACAAAAACUUGAUUAACCAACCAACCAGAAUAUUUCGAUUUCUUAGGAUCUUUAUUUACCACAGCUAUAGUAAACUGAGCAAAAUGGCUCCAACCUGUUAGACAGACAAAUGAGAAAUUCCACAAUUAUACCCCCAACAAAAUCAAUAAUCAGAGAUAAUUCAACAAAGGAAACAAUAACACACCUGGAAGAAGUUUGUCAUGAUUAGCUACACAAAGAAACAAAGAGAGAUGAUUGCAAACAUCACAACCCUGGGGAUAGAUCAAGAUGUACCUGCCAUAACAAAAAUUUCAAAACUCACUCAUCUUAUGAUGACUGUUUGCCCAAGCCACAUGCAUCUAUCAGCAAAUAUGUACCAAGCUUAAACUAUGUUGCAUGGACAUAUACAUAAUUCUCAUAUUCCAGCAAUUAUGUAACCCUUCAGAAAUGAAUUUGGGGUACAUUCCCUCGGUGGGUACAGAAGGAAUCCUGAAGACGCACUCACUGGAACCCCCCCAAUAUGUUUGUAACAUAUAACCACUCAUGAUUAGAACAUCACAUGGUACAUCAACAAGGUAGAGGAAAUGUAGUCGACCUCAGCUCCACUUUACUUAACUAUUUAUUGGUGGGUUGUAUGUGUUGUCUGGAAAGAGGACCCAAUGAUUAUUAAUUCGCCAGAACCAGAAAUUAAUUUGAUACAACUUGGAUAAACAAGCAAACUAAAGUACUAGCAUUUUUUGUGCUCAACAUGCACAGAAAUAAUAUUCAGAAUUCAUACCACUUGUAGCCGCCAACCUCAAAGGCAUUACUGCGAAGUUCCCUUUUGUUAAUUUGAGAAAAUUUCUCUAUCUUCCACGUGAACUUUCCAUAUAAUUCAGACGGCUUUGGCCCUAUAAAGAAGUAAGAGGUUCAUGAACAUUUAACCAACUCAUCCAAAUAAAAUUUGAAAGCAGAAACACUCACUAAUAAAAUGGCAUGGGAAAUGUAGAGGUCUUAAUUCUUACAAUAGAAUAAAGGAAGGCUAAAUUUUCAAUCCAAGGUGGAGUGAAAGGGUAGUUAGAAAUGAAAUAUAACAAAGAUGAAUUAAACCCGUAUAUAAAAUAAGAAAUUUGGGAGGAAAUGACAUAUUAUAAAACUGAUUCCAUGCAGAGAUGAGCAAUCAAGUAUAAUGCUGCCCUUGUCUCCCUUCACCGAUGCAUGCUACAAUUAAGUGUGGGGAGGUUUAAUAAAACUUUGAAAAAAAGGUCUACCAAGUUAUUUCAUAUGUUUCAAGUGAAAAAAUACAUAAAUGGAACAGGCUACUAUGUUAUUUCACAUAUUUCAAGUGAAAAAUACAUAAAUGGAACAGGUGUUUCAUACAAUAAAAAUAAUUUUUUUAAAUUUUGAAUUUUAAAUAUUUAGAUAUUCAAAUGGACACAAUUGUCCAGCCCUUUUUUUCCAUACUAAGCAAAACAAACUGUAGUUACUAGGUAAGUAAAACAAUAGAUUAAGCAAUCUCUCCCUAGGACAACCUAAUUCUCCAAAUUGACCUAUGUGAUCAGGAGACACACUCAUGAAAACAUUUACAACAUUUCAACACAAGAUUAAAAUACUUCAGAGAAGGAUUGGACUCAUCCUAUGGUGCAACUUGUGAGUACAAACUUAAAUAUGGCAAAGGCUAAUGUAUUUGAAAAUAACAAAAUCAUCUGUACAGUAGCUAUAAAACAUUGGUAGCUAUAUUUCACAUAACCACAAUCCAGGUGCAUAUCAUCUUUUAGCUCCAUUGAUUCAAAAUUUCCACAAGCCUGGUAUUAGAUUGGAAAAAACGAAUACACAUUCUAACACACUAGCCAAUAAGCAAUGUAGUGCACAAAAACCAUACCACCAUCAUCGUCAUCAUCAGAGUCCCAAUAAGGGGGCGAAGUAGAUGGGGUUCCAUUUUCCACCUGCUCAGAGGACCGCCAUUCUGCUAAGGCUUCCCCAGAGAGACAACGCUGCCCACUUGAAAUCCCCUCCGUAGACCUUCCUGCACCAGACUCUUCACUAGAAAUCCCGGCCAUUUCCCACUCCAAAACUCCUGUCCUCACACUCCAACCCUGCUCACAUGAUAUGAGAAAAACAAUCAAUAAAAAAAUGUAUCUGCAUUAGGAGUCCAUUGCCUGAAAAGUAGCAUCUGCACACUACAAGCCACACUUUCUUUCACCAAUUACAUCAUAAUGUUUUAAGAGCCCAGUUAUACAACAACAACAGACAUCUCAAUGUUAGAAUUUCAGGGGAGAACCAAACUUAACAAAUUGAAUCACACUUUCUGUCCUGUCUGUCAACAAGUAAAGGUAACGAGACGACCGUAAAAUUAAAAAAGAAAAAUUCUAUUUUUUUGGGACCUGACAAAACAAAAAUCUCAGUUCAACCGAUUAAUUAGCUUUAGAUGAUGACAGUUUUACAGCAAUCAAGACUUAAGGCGACAUAGAACGCAAAAAAUAUUAAACCUAGUAAAAAAAUUCAUGAGUUUCUCUGCAAUCAAACAGCUUAUCAAUUACCAUUCCCUAAACCAAAAACCCACAUCCGAAAAUCCAAAACCAAUAAACCCUGAAAUCAAACUCCAAAUACUCGAAGAAACCAAACUGAAUUGAAACCAAACAGAUUGAAAGUACGAAAUUGCUAAUCAAAAACCCUAAAAAGUCAGAACCAUUUUGAUGAACCCAUUUGCGGAAAACGCAAUCCAAAUAAAAACCCACAAAAAUCCAAACCAAUCGAACUAAGAUCGAGGAUAAUCAAUCCCCUUUAACCGCGAUCAAAAACAAUCCAUUAGAACCACAGAGGAACGAAAUCAUAAACAUUACAGGACAGAAAAGGGAAUCUCGGAAACGAUAUCCAAUAGAUCGAAUAGUGAUACGAACCUGCAACGAAGACCAAAGCUUAUUCACAAUGGCCAACGGAAGCUCUGAGAUUCUAGAGAGAGGAAGAAAGAAAAAGAGAGGGGGGGGGUGUCGAAGGAGCAGCGGAGAGAGAUAGAAUUGAGCAAAGGCGGAACCGAAAAAAGAAAAUCUUUUUUUUUUUUAAUUUAGGGAGGUAUUCAAUUAGAAUUUUAAAUCAUUCUCUAAUAUUCAAUAUAUAUUUAAUUAGGAUUUUAAGGUAGUUUAUUAAAAUUCUUAAAAAUUUGGGUUUAUUCAAUUAGAAUUUUAAAAGAGUUUAUAACAUUCCAGAUGUAUUUAAUUAGAAUUUGAAUUUAAAAAAUUUAGAAAAGUUGAGGAAUUAGGGAGAAUUAGGGAGAAUUAGAGAUAUUUUGUAGUAUAUUUUAAGUAUCCACAAAUCUUACCUCCCAUGAGAUUUCGAGAGAAUUGAAUCAAAAUUUUACAUGAAAUCUCUACAAAUCAGUUAAACUCUAUAAAAAUUCAUGAGUUUAUAAAUCCAUUAAAAUCUCUCAAAUUCCUAAUUGAAUACACCCUCUUAAUUUUUUUUAUUUUUCGAUUUUUCCAUUUUACUAAAUUUUGUUGAUGACUCAACAUUUUUUCCACUGCUAUGGUAAAUGACCACUUUCUAUUUUUCUUUUUUGGAGAUGGUGACUUUGCCUUUUUUUUCUUUAUCUUUGUUAAUGCGAAUAAAAUUAAUUUUAAAUAUUAAAAUGCACUUUUGAGAAUUAAAAGAAUUUAUAAUUGAGAAAAACAAAAUUGAUGAGGGGUAAAAUUAAAAUGAAAGGGGAUGCAAGGUUACAUAGGGUAGUGACAAAUGUGGGGAACAAGUUUUUGUAUCCAAAGUUUUGAUGGGCUUGUGCUAUAAGGUAGCGUUUGGUACGUAGAAGAGACGGAAUGGGACAAAAUGGAACGGAACAGAACGAAGGUUCUGUGCUAUGUUUGAUACGCACAAGAUGGAAUGGGACAGUUGUUCUGUUCCGCGUUUAGUACGUGCAGGGCGGAAUGGAACAAAGGAUUAAAUGGCAAACGUACCCAUGGUUCUUCGUUGACUCCAUCGACUCAACCCCAUAGAUUUUAUGCAGAAAUUGGAUUUUCUGCAACCGGCAUGGCUAUGGGAAUGAAGGUUAAGCAACAUGCAGGACCAUCGUUGUUAGAGCUCUGUACCUCGUCACCUGGCACGCCACCGGACCUUCCCUAGGAUCUCCAGAUGCGAGUUAAGCAGCGUCACCAUCCACAACAGCUACGACAUCGAAAUGCCCUGAGUCGCGAAGAUGAAGUCAAUGAGGCAGUGGAUCUGGAGAUUAAGGAGAGGGAAGGGAGGCGGUGGAGGAUUUUGGAGUGAUUGAGGGGAAAGAGAGGGUAGAAGCUCUGGUUUGUGACAAUGCCGGAGAAGUAACGGGGCAUCGUCAAGCAACAGCAUCGGUUGCGUCUUGCCAAUAAAUGACCUUGAAGGUUGGCACAGCAGAAGACGACGAUCUCAUCGUCGGACCAGUAGGGAGGAGGAAGGCGGGGGGAGGAAUGCGGGGUUAGGUUCUGGUGGGUUUGUUGGGAUUGGGUUAGCAUUGGGGCCGAUUGGAGAUGGAGGAUGAGAAGAGAGGGAGGCUACAGGAGAAAGAUGAAGGUUAGAUAGUGGAAUUAAUGAAAUAGUUAAGGGGUAUUGUUGUCCAAAAAUUUAUAAUUUUGUGUUCCAUGAGGUAAGGGUGGAACCAAAAUUUAGCUAAAAGAUGUUCCACAGGACAGCCCACCCCACUCUUUUUAGCCACCAAACGUAGGACGAAUGUGUUCCGUCCCAUCCCACAUACCAAACGGUAACUAAGAAGAUAAGCCAAACCUUCAUGUUCCUCAAUUCUGAGUUAAUGAAGACUAAGUCCAAAGUAUCCUGAAGGAAAAACAAGUCUUAUAAAAUGAUUUUUUGUUCUUCCAACAACUUCUAUGUGUUUAGUCUGGUGUUACAUUAAAUGUUUCUGUCGUUGAUGAAUUGUUUCCAAGGGCUUUAAGGAGCUUCCCAUGGCUAUUGAGGUGCUUCCCAUGGCUAUUGAGGUGCUUCUUGUGACUUUCAUAAUGAUCUGUUAAACUAACAAACACUGGAAAUAUUGAGUAAUUACAAUAAAAUAUAACUUGCAUGAACAAUGUGUGGUAUGAAGCUAAAAACCCACUAGUUUGGCAUGAAAGGGAGCAAUUGUUCUUGCUUGCAUAGUUUUGAAGUGGCUAACCUAGGGUUUCUAAUGUUUUGGUAGUUUUGAAGGGGUAAGGAAGCUUAUCAAAAAGAUCAGAGUGAAUGAACUAUUUAAAGCUCGUGAAUUGGGGUUUCCAGCACUUAUAAAUAACUUGCUCUGAUUAGUGCGCCUUUCUUUCAAACGUAUUGAGGCUUUUGAUUUAUAGUUGUAGGGAUUUCUCUAAGUUUUAGCUAGGGAAUCCCGUGGUUUCCUCUCUUCUUCCAAUUUUACUAAGUCUUCCUUUCUUCUUUUCAUAGGUCCAGCUACAUCUAAGGGCGGAUCUAUUAAGGGACCAGGGUGGUCCUCGGAUAAAUGGUCGUGAGGAUCCUCAAUGACCACCUAAGUUUAGGCAACAGUGGAGAAGAACAACAGCCAUAGCUGCUACACGCUGUGCAAAACAGGGGAGGAAGAAGAAAGCCAUUUUUUUUUAAAUGACUUGGCCAAAACAACGUUGUUUUGAGACAAGUCAUUAAAAAAAAUUAAAAACUCACGUGAUAGAGCACUCACCAUCUUACAAAAUAGUAAUCAAAUUCACUUUACCAAUAAUACCUAAGCCAGCCGAUUUGCCAAAGGCCAUCAACAUCUGAUUCGCCAAAGUCACUAAUUAUCUGCCGCUCUUGUUCCUCACGCUACCCAAGCCAGCCGAUUCGCCGAAGGCCAUCACCAUCAACUUUAGAAUUUUUGUAAGCUGUCUUCGUGUUUGAUUAGAUGGGUUGCUUUAAUUUUCUUAUGGGUGUUCUGUUUUACCUUUGUAUUGGUGCUUUCUGAUGGUUCUGGUAAAUAUAUAGCAUGUAUGAAGUAUGAUGGAGUUGAUUGUAGUAACAAAGUGCCCACCAUGUGCUUGAAGGAAUGCUAGAGUGGGUAUUGGAUAAAGGGCGUGUCUUGAAUCUUGAUUGAAAUCCGGAAUCAGUGUGAAGAAGUUUAUUUCUUCAUCUGGGAUUUUUGCUUCGAGUUCUUUCUGUGGAUUAGUUCCCGUUUGGAGGAUUUUUUAAUUCAAGUAAAUAGUAGGAAAAUGGGUUUCCCUUUUGAAGCUGAAAGAAUCUAGUAAAUAGGCUCUUAUUAUUACUUUGGGAGAUUGGUUGAAUUGCUUCAGUAUUGAAAUUGGUUCACCUUUGCUAUGAUAUGAAAUAGUUGGUCUCAGUUUAUUGAUUUCAUGUAUUUAGUGGAAUUUAGAGGUGUCAUUUUUAGUUGAUAUGAACUCAUUGCAUGCUUAAAUAAAUGGGUUUUUCCUUUACGGUGAAUUCCUUUAUUUACAUGAGCUAGUGCCUAGCGAUUAGGCUAAUGUGUGAUCAAUGAAUUUUUGGAUGUGUUUUUUUUAUAAAGUAAGACGCCAUAUCCCUCUUUUCCAUUCUCUCUGUUUGGGUAAGAUAUGGUGCAUCCGUCUUUAAUGGAUAUAUGUUUAACAUCAAGGCUGCUCUAAGACCGAGUUGAAGCUGAUGUUCUUUGUUUUUUUUUUCUUGGUUUUUAAUAGCAUACUUCUAUUAGGUCUUCAAGAACUUUGAGAAAUGGGUGGACUGCCGGCAGAAAAUACUUCCUUUGAGACUGAGCCCAAGCCAACCGAUUCGCCGAACGCCAUCAGCAUCAACUUUAGAAUUUCUGUAAGUUUUCUAGUUUAGUUUUAGUUCUUACUUAUUUUUUGUGUUAGUUGAUACAUAUUUUUUUGUUGAAGAUUGUGUUACAGAAUGGAGGAUCAAUGGUUAAAUGAUAGUUUAGUUGUUUACAUUGAGAAAUAAGUUUUUUCUUGUAUUGACAAUGAAACUAUCAUGACAUGUUUUCGAAGUAUGAAAUCCCAUCGUGGACAAAUUAAGUAUUUCUAACUUGUUUAGCACAAAGAUUAUAAAUGAAAAGUUGUAGUUUGUGAUUUAUUUGUUCAAUGAUAUUUUCGUCCAUUUGUUUUUGGAGCUUUUAUAUUGGGACCACCCUAUGUUAAAAUCCUGGAUCCGCCACUGGUUACAUCAUUCCUUUUUUGUAUAACGCUACAAAGGGUGGGUAACCCCGUGAAGGCCAAGGUUAAACACGAUGCCGCCCCUUCUUCCAGCACCAAGUCCAACAAUACAACUCUAUCUUUGGCAAUGCUCCACUCUGCCUUCUCCCUCAUUUUCGUGUAAGAGCGUAAAAGGGAAAUAUACUUUUUUUGGCUUAUUAAAGUGGCGCACGGCUUUAGGUCUAGACGUGAUUCGGUUUUGAUUUGGUCAGCUAGCUUUGGGUUUUGGUUGUUUCCUAUGUGUCUUACUUGGUUUGUAACAGAAAGGAAAAAAUAAAUUGUUCUCUCUCAGGUACCGUUUAGUACAUGAGACGGGGCGUUCCAUCCCACGUUCGGUGCGCCUAAAACGGGUGGAACGUGUUGUUCCACGGGACAAGUUUUGGGUGAAUUUUCGUUCCACCUCACCCCCCUGGAACGACUCGUUCCACAUCCAUGGAACACAAAGUGAUACCCUCUCCAUCUCCUUCUUCUUCCUCCUUGUUUCCAUCCGAGGACAUCUUUGCUCCUUCUCCAUCUUGUCCCGUCCUAUCUCGUCCCAUUCCGUUCCGUCUCGUCCCGUCUGCAUACCAAAUGAUACCUAUCUUCCUACGUGCAGUUAAAAUUAUGGGCUUAGAUUUUGGUGCUCCCAAGUAACCCAAAAUCUUCCACAACCGUAAUUCUACUUAGGCCAAUGAACUUCCUUAAUCAUUCACACCAUGUCCCAUUCGACAAAACCCGUUACGUGGCUUGUACUCAUUUAAGUGUAUCAUGUGCUUGGUGUGACUCAAAUUAAAAUGUUGAUGUAUGAAUACUAUACUACGGCUUGACACGAUAUAUAUGCGUAAGUUGCAUGAAUUUGGUGUGAUUUUACAAACGUUCAAUUUAUAAAAUAUUAUUUUAUUAGCAUGACAUGAUUGUAAAUUUGCAUACCCAUCGUUUCAAACUUUAUGCAUGAAUUUAAGCUUGGUUUGUGAUGUACAUGCAACAAUUAUGCUUUGGGCUUGUUGAUGAAAUUUCUAGAAUCUAACAUUAGCCCUCUUGAUUAUCUAGGCCAUGCAAAAACGAAAUGGUUUGAAUAAUUAAUCAAGCCUAAACCACCAAAAGUAUGUGCAUGGACUCAGCUUUUUUAUCGCCACUAGCUUUGUAGUUAUAGCUUUUCAUCACUUAAUUUAGUUAUUGUUUGCUCAACCGUCUCGCUCAGACAUAUUUCUUAUUCACGUGCUUGUUAUUCAAAUGAUUUAUGACAUGUAUUUUGAUUUGCAUAAAGUGAGUUGAACUCUCACACUAUUACAAUUUCAUUUCUUCUAUGUUUGGUCAUCAUAAAAUCCUUGGCAUUACAAGAUCAGGUUCUAGUAAUCUUGCGAUAUAUAUAUAUAUAUAUAUAUAUAUAUAUAUAUAUAUAUAUGUCUCAAUGUCGUUGCUAUCUCAGGACGAUCCUUUUACUAUUUCUAGUACAACCAACUACUAUCCGGAGCUCUCAGGUUACUGUGGUUGUGCCUUGCAUAUGUCUAGUGAUUGUAAUCAGUGUCUUUGGAUCAUAGAUGCAAGUGCUACGGACUAUAUGACUUAUGACCACAACGAUCUUGUUUGUGACACCAUCUGACUAAGACAUAAUAGUAUCACUAGUGACAAUGGUGUACCCUCUAUCACUAGCGCUAACACUGUGCCUCUUACUUCUACUCUCUCUUUACCCAAUAUGUUUACUAGUUCCAUCAUUAAAACAUAAAUUGAUGUCUCACAAUCAAGUUACUGAACAAUUGAAUUGUUGUGUACUAAUGAAUCCUAAGUUUUGUCUUAUCCAGAAUAUUCUCACGAAGGACAUAAUUGGUCGUGGUACUAAAAAAAGGUUCUAUAUUUCAUUAAUGAUGUCAGUACGGGUCAUGUCAACUUGGUUCAAAGGGCAGCUGAUCACAAGAAAAGACAAGUGUGGUUGUGGCAUCGUCAUUUGGGUCAUUCGUUUUUCAGUUUUUGCAACAUGUGUUACUCAAUUUAUUUGUUGGGUUUUCUUCUUUUGAUUUUAAGUGUGAUACUUGCAUUCUAGCCAAGAGUCAUCGUGUUCCUUAUCUUUUAAGUUGUAAUAAGAGUACUAUUUCUUUUGGAUUAAUACAUUCUGAUGUUUGGGGGGCCAUCUCCAAUUUAUACUUCUGAAAUCUGGUGGUUUGUAACAUUUGUGAAUGAUUGUACACAGAUUACAUGGCUCUAUCUUCUACAAAAUAAAAGUGAGUUUUUUUUUUCGACUUUCAAGACUUUUCACACCAUGAUUUUGACUCAGUUUUCUACUAAGCUUCAUACAUUACGUUCUGACAAUGGUGGGGAAUAUGUCAAUCAUAAUUUUACCUAGUACUUACUGCUUAUGGAAUCCUUCAUGAAAUUAUUUGUCCUUAGACCCUCGACAAAAUGAAGUGGCUGAGAGCAAAUAUUGACAUAUCUUGGAAACUGCUCGGGCCUUGUUACUUGGUGCCAAUGUUCCCUGCUCCUCUUGGGAGGUUGCAAUUCAUAUUGCUAUCUAACUCAUAAACAGAAUGCCUUCUAAAGUCGGAUUUUCAGACACCAUUAUAGGCUUUCUCUUGGUUUGGGCCUCUAUCAUUUAUCUUAAUUAUGCCACCUCAUGUGUUUGGGUGUGUCGCGUUUGUCCAUCUUCAUAUAAACCAAUGCACCAAACUUGACCUUUGUGUCAUUCGUUGUGUUUUUAUGGGGUAUGAGGCACAUAAAAAAUGUACCAUUGCUAUUAUCCUCUCACCCGACGGACGUAUAUCAUUAUGGAUAUGACUUUUUUGGAGUCCGAGAUAUAAUAUUCUUCAUCUUCAUUCACCUCUCAUUUUUAAGGGGAGAGAACAAGUGAAAAUGAGAACUGGCCAUCAUAGCUAGCAACAACCAUUACACUGCCAGUCUGCCAGUACCACCCACACUACUGCCGGCACCCCCCACGACACUGCCAGUAGCAACAUCGAGCACAGAAGCUGCACCACUAUCAGAAGUAGCAGCUCAACAACUAGAAACGAUUGCAAACAGUGCAGUCCCUAUUGUGAAUCAAAAUGUCGAAGCUUUGCCCCUUAUUGAUCUCCAAAUAUAAUACCAAUAGAUUACCAUACUCUUAAGAAUAUUCCUAUUGUAAAUCUCACUUCCCUUAUUAAUGUAUUGGACAAUUCAAGGUAUCACUUACCUUGCAGGAAAAACCGAGGAAAACCACCUAAAUGGUACUCGCCGGGUGAAAGAAAAAGGUCCAAAUAUAUCACUACCAACUAUUUGUCAUCACAUAAAUUAUCAUAACCAAGUAAAGCUUUCCUACAACAAAGAUUGUGUUUCAAGCUCAUUGAAAGAAGCAAUAUCUGAUGCUAGGUGGGCUAAAGCAAUGGAAGAAGAGAUGAGUGCACUUCAAAAGAACCAAACGUGGGAUUUAGUUAUAUUACCUAGAGGAAAAAAAAAAGAGUAAGGUGCAAAUAGGUGUAUACAAUCAUGUACAAAGCCAUGAUUGGUCGCCAAGAAUUAUACUCAAACCUAUGGCAUUGACUAUACAGAGACAUUUACUGUAGUAACAAAGAUCAAUACAGUAAGGGUAUUGCUCUCAUUGGCGGCAAAUCCAGAUUGGCCUUACAACAAUUUGAUGUGAGGAACGUCUUCCUACAUGGGAAUCUUAAAGCGGAAUUGUAUGUGGAUAUUCCACCAAGGUACAUCACUCUCACAAUCAGGAGUAGUAUGUAAAUUGAACAAGGCCUUAUAUAGUCUGAAGCAAUCACGUUGGGCGUGGUUUGGGAGAUUUCAAAUGGCCAUGAGAAAAUAUGGGUUCAAGCAGAGCAACUUCAACUAUGCGCUUUUUGUAAAACAUUGGAUGGGUAAGUUAACGACACUCAUUAUCUACGUGGAUGAUAUGAUUGUCACCGGGGAUGAUAAGGAAGAAAUCUUGAAGUUGAAGGACUAUUUGGCAACCAAGUUCGAAAUGAAAGAUCUUGGUGGGCUUAAGUUUUUUUUUUUUUUUUUUUUUUUUUUUGUAUAGAAGUGGCUCGAUCGAAACAAGGCAUAUUUCUAUCUCCAAGGAAAUAUGUUCUAGAAUUAUUGACAAAAACAGGGAUGCUCAAUUUUAAACUUGUUGAUAUCCUAUCAUCCAAAACCAUCAUCUUGCCAUGUAUCCUGAUCAAACUCCAACAAAAAAAAAAUCGUUAUUAGAGGUUGGUUGGAUGACUAAUCUACUUAUCCCAUAACAGACCAGACAUCGCUUAUGCAGUAAGUGUUGUCAGUUGGUGUAUGCACGCUCCAAUUAAGAUCCACAUGAAUGUUGUUGAGAGAAUUCUUUGUUACUUGAAGUUGGCACCCGGUAGAGGCAUUAUGUUUUCUAAGAAUAUACACUCAAAUGUGGAUGGUUAUACUAAUGCAGAUUGGGCAGGAAACAUCAUUGAUAGGCAAUCUACUUUAGGAUACUUUAUGUUUGUGGGAGGUAAUUUAGGGACUUGGUGUAGCAAGAAGCAAAAGGUUAUGACUUUGUCAAGUGCCUAAACGGAAUGCAGAGGUAUGGCAAAAGGCGUAUGUGAGUUACUAUGGCUUCGGCGGUUACUUACAGACCUUGGGUCUCCACCAAUGUCUGCAUCAAAUUUAUUUUGUGAUAACAAAGCUGCCAUUGAUAUUUUUCCUAAUCCAAUUCAACAUGAUUAGACCAAACAUGUUGAAGUUGAUAGACAUUUUAUUAAGGAGAGGUUAGAUGUAAAUUUUAUUCAAUUUCCAUUUGUGAAGUUCGAGGAUCAACUGGCAAACAUUUUAACGGAAGCAAUUACAAAUCAAGCGUUCUAAAACUCACUCAACAAGUUGGGCAUAGGCGACAUUUAUGCACCAACUUGAGGGGGAGUGUUGGCGCAAGUUGAAGAUUCUCCUACAAAAAUGGCUUAAGCCAUCUUUCACAAAAGUUGUUAAAGCAAUUUGAGGGGGAGUGUUAAUUAGGUUCAUUGAACAAUUUAGCUCAUUAAGUCUUAUACAUAGGUCCAUUGACUUUUCUAUGUUAUGUUCAUUGUAUGAAGAGUAAAUGAUGUGCAUUUGUAUUUCCUAUAUAUUUGUACAUUUGAGGAUGAAUGAAAUUAAGAAAGAAUUAAACACAAAAUUAGCAGUAUUAAUGUAGGAUGUUCCAAUUUUAGAAUAUUGCAAACCUUGUCCACCAUUGACACCAUUGAUGUUGUAUGUGCCUAUGUACUCCUAAGCAUUGGAGAGUUAGCCAAGAUUGUUUGUUAUAUGUGCAUUUGCUCCGGAGUCCAGGAGCCAGCUUGUGGGUGCAAUGGUUGCUUGGGUUACUGUCACGCCCCGGAUCCGGGGUCAAUAGAAAAAAUCUCGAACCCAUAUCCGGCGCACAAGCUAAAAAUAAAAUUAAAUAAAAGGAAAGUGAAACUGGGUGGAAAAAUAUGAAAUUCCUCUUUUAACAAGAAAUCGAUAAUUCUUUACAAGAUUAAAAUAGAUAAAUACAAAAUUCUAUCCUCACACUUAAUCCGAUCUCAUCCCAUCUACCAUUUUUGAUUGUUUAGUUCUUAAACCUGCAUAACAAUAGAGGGGUGAGCUUUAACAACUCAGUAGGAACAUAACCUUAUCACAGUAAAUUGACAAUAUUAAAUUAAGUGUCAGGAAAACAUAAAGCCAAAUAUCAAAUCAUUAUUGAUAUUAAUGCAUGAGUGCAAUAUAACCUCUUCAGCUACCCCCGUUAAUUCAUAUAAUAAAACACACGGACCUGCACGUCCCAUACCAUGCAUUUUACCUCUGCAGAGGUGGUUCGAAUGUUCUAUUAUAGAAACUAAUCCCCAUAUGAUAUCCCAAGUUCAUAAACCCCUUUUGCUAGUCAUCUUAUCUAAUUCAUUGAUCUCCAGCCCAAAUCACGCACAUCGACAAUUCCCGUCGAUAUCCUAUUCUAUUGUGCACAUCGGGCUCGCCUGGAACUGGUUUCACAAUGAAUAUAUUCAACUACACAAAAGAUCAUUUCCAACUACCCUCAUUUCCAUACUUCCAAUCUGAACAUUGAAAUUCCAACCACAUCAAUAUGAAUGAUGCACAAAUGAUGUCAUUUUAUAUUUCACAUAUUUCACUGUAUAUUCUCAACGAAUGGCAUUCCAACAAUAAUUUCAUAACCAAUAACAAGUAAACACUUAACUGAAGCAAUUAGCCAAUUAAACUCAAUCAUAUAAAUCAACCAAAAAGAUCAAGAAUAUUAUAGCACUUCACGAAAUUUAAUAAAUUAAUUUCUGUAAAGGCCUGCCUUAUUUCCCCUACCUGGAUUCCAAAGCUAAAACGAAGAUUCGUGUCACUACUGGAAUAGCUAAGCUCCACAUACUUAUCCACAUCACUACCCAAAUAUCUAAACUCCACGUACUUGAGCAAGCUCCUUGAUCACUCCUAAUGCCAUGAAUUUCUUCAACUACCUUUCUUUUCUAAUCCAUCUCUACACGUACAUACACACACACACACACACACACAUAUAUAAUCUAAGUAAAGUAAACAUGCACAAGCAUGCAGCCUUUCGCAUGUUGUAAAAGAAUUGAGGGGAAAGCUCCUAUUUAUACUAGGAGAAGUCGGCAACUUAAAAGCAUAACACUGGUGGGUGUGGCGGCAACCAAGAUAAGAAUGGUUCGAAGGGUGUCUAAUCCUCAUGCAUGCAAGACAGCUCCUGCUACGAGCUAUAGAUAGUCAGCAACAAUAGAGUGCUCGUGGAGCACCUGGGACCUCUAAACAAUGCCACCUAACCUUAACAAAUUAGAUAAGAAUGCCACCACCUAGAGCCAGCUCCACCACUCCACCUCCUACCAACACCUCAUGUUAAACCAAUACAGUGAGUCAACAACGUACUGAAACUUCAGUACGAUAAGCAUACCUAAUAAAUAUAUUUAUUAUUAUUAUUUUUAAAUAAUAAUAAGAAACAUAUAUUUUCAAAAUGCGGGAUCUUACAGUUACACGGUCUGAUUGGCUGCAAGGGCAAUGAGACGUGCAUUGGGAACUCGUCCUUCAUAGGAUAAGUUCAUGCGAUUGUAACAAGCGAUCGCAGAGUGACCAUUAAGAAAGGAGCAAACACUUGUCAUGGCAAAAGAAUUCUCUAUGGAGAUCGAUGAGAGCUUUUAAUCAUGUCAACAAUAAAAGUUUGGAAUGUUCAACGUGGGGGCUGCAGGUACUAUAUAUAGAUCUUCUGACUCCCAAUCGGGUUGCUCUAUCCUUCGGUUUCGUAACCAAGUUUUUCUUUCUCACUCGCACUUUUCUACGGAAGGUUCUCCCCUAUCCCCGACAUUUUUCUCCGAUGCCCCCAGUUUCCAUCGCCGUGACCAUCUGGUUCACCGGUACGACAACGAAUCGCGUUCGGUCUGGAGCACGCUGCACGUCCUCUAGUGAAAGAUACUCUUGGUACGGUACUCGUUAUAUUCUUUGACUUGGCUCAUCUUCCAUACAAAUUCUGGAGGCCCGAAAUCCAAUGAAAACUCGAUCAAAGGACUGCAACCUUUCUUAGGUGCUGAGCUAUGCAUGAACGCAAGCAAAUCCCAAACUCUUUUUGUUAGAAAUAAUUCUUCAAGUGGGGCCACCUUUAAAUCCGAAGGUUUCGUGGCUUAAGCUUUGUGGACUAAAUAGAGGAUUACUUUUCCCCACCUCUUGGUUUUUGUUAGAUUAGUUUAAAUUUCAAGAUUCAUGUCUUAGAUUAAUUAAACAAAACUAAUCUAACGAUAACCAAUGGUGAGCAUCACCUUCAUUUUUAGAGAGUGAGCCAAAAAAAUACACUCAUUAAUUAAGGGAGGAAUUCACUAAAUUAGUUACAUAAAUACUCUUAUGGUCUUAACUACUUUAAUUUUCAUAAAACAUCUUAACUACUUAAAUUUUCCUAAAACAAAAACAAAAAUUUACUUAAGCUACAAGUCCCCUUUGAUAAAAAAAAAAAACAAUACUUGGCUACUCAAAGAUGAGUAGGAACUCAUACUCAAAACUCUUAGUAUUUUAAUCACAUAUGAUUAGAACUGUUCAUAUUAUGAAUUACAAUGUAAAGAUCAUCUUUGCAAAAAAUAAAUUAAAACUAAGGUUGUUUAGUCAAUCUAUUGUAGCGAAUACAUAGAUGGUUUGUAAUGGUUUUACCAAUACCGUUUAUUUGUUUUUAAUUAGUUUGAUGACUAAACGACCUUACUUUUAAUUGAUUUUUUGCAAAGACGAUCUUUAUAGGAUGAUUUGUAAUAUGAACGGUUCUGAUUAUAAACACGAAGUUUUAUAAAUUGACAACGAACAAUUUUGAGAAAUUUUGAGUAAAAACUCCUUAUCUUUAAGUAGGCAAGUAUUGUUAAAAAAAAAAAAAAAAGAAAGAAAAAAAGAGCGCCCUCACCUCUUUUGAUUGAUUAAAUUGAACACUGACUUGAGUAGGAUAUCCUUGACUAUCGCUAUAUUUUAUUUUCUAUCAUUUCUUCCUACCUGUUUCGAGAUGCAUGUGCAAAGUUAUCAAAUAAGAAUUGAGCUGUGCCUUACGUAUCAAUGAGUGAUAUGUACCAUUUCUGUAAAACUGCUUCAAGUGAAUCAAUUUUUUAUUUUACCUGCUCGAGAAAAAGUAUUUUUCUUAUUUGGUCCAAGCAAAAGUGGUAUAUUUUCUUAGUCCAAGCCCCUAUAAAGUUUUAACCAGGUGCAUGGAAUCUCGUGGUCCCAUAAAUCUCUGCACAAAAUUGCCUAGAAAACUAUAUAUGUUAAGAUUUUUUUGUUCCAGAAAACUCUCAUGCAUUCUGUCUCUUCUGGAGCAUAAAAGAAUGCUUUUAGGAACAAUAAAUGUUAGGUUAAUAUAAUGAUAUUAUUUGAACUAAAAUGAAAGAUUGAAUUAGAUUAUACAAGGGAAUUGUCAUAAUAAUUUGGUAUUAAACUUGCACUAGAACUAUAUAUCUUAAGAUUUUUUUUUCAGAAAAGUCUCAUGCAUUCUCUGUAUCUUGUGGAGCAUAAAAGAAUGAUUUCAGGAAAUAUAUGAGAUUAAUAUAACAAUAUUAUUUACACUAAAACAAAUGAUUGAAUUAAAUUACACAAGGGGAUUGUCUUAAUAAUAUGGUAUUGAAAUUGCGCGAGAGCUAAACCAACCUUUCUACUUAUAAGUGGAAAGAAAUAUCAGUAAACCAAUGUACUAAAUGACAUGAACAAUAUAUGUUAAUAUUGGAUAAAAAGGGAUGAAUAUUGGAUAAAAAGGGAUGAACCCAAGAAAAACUACAAGCUAACAAAUCCUGACCUAGAAAGAUUAUUCCUUAUCAUCAUAUUUUGAGAUACAAACAAAACCAUUUUGAUUUCACAAAGUUUAUUUAGGCUCAACACAAAUUAAUCUCUGCCAUGUCCAAAUCAAACAUGCCAAAAAAUGAAGAUGUUUUCCAGGAGAUGAUAGAGUCUUGGGCACCACUCACUCAUAUAAUCACUUGUUCUUUUAGGAGACUAAUCUGAAAAAUUGCAUGCAGCCUGCAGGAAGCUUCGUGGUUGCACAUACAUUUUUGACAUGAACCGAUGUGUACCGCCAACUGCUCCAUUUGUCUUGGUCAGAAUCGUUUUAGAGAGUAUGAUUCGAGUAGGAAUUCUAUAGGGAGCUCUUAAGAUAUCUUUUAGUCUUUUUAGUCAAAAUUUGCUUUACAUUACCUACAUUUUCCCUUUAUAAAUAUCCGAUAACAGGUCAUACCUUCGAGUUUCAAGAACAUGUUACUUAAUCACAAAUAUUGUAGCCAAUUCUUAGACGUCAACUACUAUUAUUCAACAUAUGACAAGUACUUUGAAACAAAAAAGAAAAAAAAUAUCACAUGACUACAAGUUAAAGGAAUCACUAUAUUUAAUUUAGGAGAAAUUAGGUUUUCAUCUUUAUUUUUGCUACUCCAUUGAUUAAAAUCCCAUUCCUUUUCAAGGUCCUUGAGUAUUAAUAACAUCAUUAAUUAUUUUCAUAAUAAAAUAUUUUUUUAUUUCUAAAUAUAUUCAUUUAAUGUUAAAAAUGUUACAAUUAGUAUAUUUAUAUUUAUGACUAAAUUUUUUAUCAUAUAUUUUUAGUUUUAGUUUGUACCCAUUUUUAAUUUGUAAUUUUUUUUAAUUUCUACCAAUUUUCUUUUCAAUUUUAAUUUGUACCCAUAUAUUAAUUUCUUUUUGUGCCCAUAUUUUUUUAAAGUUUAUUUGUAUUUGUACCCAUAUAUUUUUUUAUUUGUACUUUUUAUUUUGCUAAAUGUACCCAUGCUAAUUAUAUGUACCCAUUCAUGUAAAACUUUUUAAUCUUAAAACGUACUCAUUCUUAAAUAUACCAAUUUGUUAUAUGUAAAAUGUACCAUUUUUUAAAUUAAAAUCUAUUCAAUUUUUUUCUAAUCCAUUUUUAAACCUAUAUGGGUACAUUCUUUUUUCUUUGAUUUAAAAAUGUAUCCAUGUCAAGGUUAAUCGAAAAAAUUUACUAACGUUAUUAAGCCUAAUAUAUAAAUAUAUAUAUAUUUUUUUGUGAUUUUGAAGAAUGUACAUGUUUUGAUACAAUAAUUUUUUUGGUUAAUUUUGAUGAAUGUACCCAUGUUUAUACACACACACACACACACAAUAGUAUAUUUAUAUUUUAAUAUUUUUAACCCACAAAUUAUGGUUUUUUAUUUAAAAUCUUAUUUAUAUAAACAACUAAAAUUUCUAAUUUUUAAUUUAAAAAAAUAUAUUAACGUACAUAAAAAUAAAUUAUCACAUUAAUUUCAGGGACCUUAAUAAAAAAUUAAAAAUCAACAAGAUUUCAAUCAAAGAAUAUUCAUAGCUGAGGACCGCAUCCAAAGUCUCCCAUUAAUUUAUGUAGUUAAAGAGUUUUACCAUUAAUUAACCAUAUAAGGUCGAUUUUUUAUUACGUUUUGUACAGGAACUUCACAUGUUUAAAUUAUUUUACUCUAUUGCUAGAACCGUUUAAAAACAAAGGUUAAUAGGUAUAAUUAAAGUAACCAGUCGUCCUCAUUCCUAUAUUAAUCACACAAGUCAGCCACCGGCGGCCAUCGUGGUGACCAAGAAAACACAAAACGCAUACUAAUUGCUAUAUCCAGAAAAAGAAACAUACUUUUAAAAUUUUAUUCUAAUUUUAUUAAAUUAUUUAGUAGACAGUGUUAUUGGUCCUUUAAAAGGAGUUGGAGGGUGUUGCUUGUUAUCAUGCUUGAGUGCUACAACACAAAUAAUUGCCACGUAAGAAUCUAUGGAGAAUCCUAAGUUCCCUCUCCAUCUCUGCCAUGUCCACAAGCUUUCAAACUUCAUCAACCGAACACAUAUCCUCGUCCACUCAAACGCUCUAGCCUUCUUGUUUUACUAUAGAGCCUCUUUCUUCUUCCCACACCCCAAUACCAAAGCCACAACCCUACCAUGGCUUCUUGUCUUUGCCUCGGAAAUCCUCCUUGCCUUCGAAUGGCUCCUCAGCCAAUCAUUUCGCUGGCGGACUGUUUUGCGAACCGUGUUCCCAGAGAGGCUGCCGGAGAAUGACAAACUUCCGGCAAUUGACGUGUUAAUUUGCACCGCGGAUCCGGAGAAGGAGCCAACCGUGAUGGUUAUGAACACGGUGUUAUCAGCCAUGGCAAUAGACUAUCCACCGGAAAAGCUUCAUGUGUAUCUAUCUGAUGACGGCUGUGCUGCCGUGACUUUGAAUGGGAUGAGAGAGGCUUGGAGGUUUGCAAAGUGGUGGCUUCCGUUUUGUCGGAGGUAUGGGAUCAAGUGUACGGCUCCGGAGGCUUAUUUCUCUGCAGGAGGAGAAGGUGAUGGCCAUGAGGAUGAUCCCAUACCGAAACCCUUGUCCUGAUUCCCAAACCAAAUUUUUCGGGAAUCCCAAUUUGAAUACCGAUUCCAAACCAAAUUUUCGGGAAUCCCAAUUUUCGGGAAUUCCGAAAUAGUUUCGGGAUUUCGGGACAAAUCAGGAAUCCCGAAAUGGUUUUGGGCUUUUGGACUAAAAUUUGACAUAUUAUGCUUAUGUAACUCAUUGAAUGAAUUGUUAGAUUGUGCAGGCUGGUUAGUCUGAGACUGAGAAUCUAUUGCAUCUCUUGCUAGUUUAAAUGCAAAUAUAAUCUCAUAUCGGGGCACAAGCAUUGGAUUGCAAACUGUAAACUUUGCUUGAAGGCUCUUAACCUGACUGACAAGCAUUGCUACCUUGCGCUGCUUUGCUGUCCAUUUACCAGUAAUUUGCAUAUGUAAAAUACAUAUUUACAAUGCCAACAAGCUCCAUUUAUUGGUAUAAAGAGUAAAGAGACUCAAGCAUAGUAACUAGCUGAUCCAACUUUCUUGGUUUCGACAUAAAUAAAACAACAUUGCUUACGUCAUAUCAUAAUUCAUAACAUAUUCCAUUCUCUGUAAUAAGUUCAAACCAUAAAGUCCAUAAUCAAUUAUAAAAGAAUAAUAUAUAUGUAUAUAUAUAUAUAAUAAUUAAUAAUAUAUAUUUUCGGUUCGGCAUGGGAUUCCCGAAAUAUCGAGAAGUCAAUCCCGAAUCCCGUGCCAAAAUUUCGGGAUCGGUUCGGGAUAGCAUCCCAAAAAUUUCGGGAAUUUCGGUUUGGGAAAUUUUUGGUUUGGGAUUGGGAUUUUUUCGGUUCGGUUCAGGAUUUUUGGGAAUUUUUUCCACCCCUAAUGAGGAUGGUGAUUCCGGGGGUAGUGAGUUCAUACACGAGAAAUGUUAUUCUUACCAUCUGUUUUACUUUUUACCAUCAAUUGUACCAUCUUUCUAAUAGAGAUGAGACCCACAUAUGUUGGUGGGUUUUACAUCUAUUAGAGAGAUGAUACAAAUAGAUGAUAAAUAUACUACUCUAGAGAAGAUACUUAAAAUGAUCAGAAUGAUAAAAAGAGCAUGAAAUGAGUGCAUGAUGAUUUUUUUUUUCGCAAUUAAUAUUUCUCAAAACAAAUUCCUCAUGUUUGAAGAUAUAUAAGUAUAAUAUUUCUCAGUAACAAAGCUGAUGGUAAAGAUUUGAUUGCAGGAGGCAUACGAGGUGUUUAAGAGAAGAGUAACAGAAAAUGCAAGGAUUGAGGACGCCAGGAGCAACAUGCGUCGAGAUCACUCUGCAGUCAUUGAGGUAUUGUUAUUUUGUACCCUACAUAUCACAUUGUUUGUUGAUUAGUACUUUAGUUUUACAAAUUAUUUAGACAUAAAAUAAAUUACCAAUGAGCUUUCAAGCUUGGUGGUAAAAAAGAACUUAUCAUGGUUUACCGCCACUAUGGCAUUCCGGUCUACGUAAUGUCAUGUGUAAAUUUCCCUUCACAUGACAUUAAAUAUAGAAAAAAAUUAGUAUCUGAUUCUUAGUUACUAAUGUUCAUUGACUGAAACCUUAUUAUUUUUCAGAUUUUGAUCCAAGUCCCUAACAUUAAUGUAAUAACUGACACACCUUGACCCGGAAUAUCCAGGACUCCGAAUGGAGCUGUGCUUACAUAAUUUUUUUAAAAUAAAAAGUAAUAAUUGAUUUAGAAUUUUAAUACUCACACCUUUAUUAAACUCCUAACUAAUUUUCAAUUCAAAACAUUUCCAAAAUAAAUAUAAAAAAAAUUAGAAUAAGUUUGUAUCCAUUAGCUUUUUUAAAAAAUGUUUUCAAUUUUUUAAUCUUAUAUGUACCCAUUCAUGUAAUUUUUUCAAAUUUUUAAUCUUAAAAUGUACUCAUUCUUAAAUAUACCAAGUUGCUAUAUGUAAAAUGUACCUUUAUAUAUAUAUAUAUAUAAUCUAUUUAAUUUUUUUAUAAUCUAUUUUUUGUUGUAAACAUUCCUAGAAUAAGUAUGAUUGUGUAAAUCCUAGAUUAGAUUUGAUUCUAGUUAUCCUUUCCUAUUACAACUUGUAUUACUUGGAGGAGAAGGAAUAUCUUCUCUCCCUUUACUAUUAUAAAUAAAGGCACAAUGUAGGAGGGAUAACAACACACACAUUCCCCUACAAUUCUACAAACACACAUCUCUCUCAUCUCUCUCCACUGCCGCCGGCCCUCUCUAUAUUGUCAGAUAAAAAUAGACCAUAACACGUUAUCAGCACGCUCCUACCGCUGCGCUUAGGAAUCUGACGUUGGAGAUUUUUUUUCUGCAUCAAACCAGUUCAUCCAUAUCAUCGCGCAAUCAGGUUCUUUCCAAACAACGACUUUUAACUCGAUAUUUUGCAAGCCCUGAUAGCAUGAACAUUCACCAUGAUGCAUGACCCAACUUUACGUUUAACGUAUUUUAGAUUCUACAUAAAUUGUGUAUGCUUCAUAACCAAAAUUGCUCCAAUUAUGUGAAUUUGAUAUUUGCCAUGAAUUGAAUCUUACAUAUGUACAUGCAUUGAAACUAUUAUUUGCAUAUGCAUCAACGUAAAUAUGUGAUUCAUUAGAAUUAUACAUGCAUAUAAUAUAAUUGAAUUAAAUUUUUUUUUUUUUUUUUUUGCAAUUGGGGAAUUAGGGUUCUUCGAACCCGUGCCUUUGCAUCACGCAAGGCUACAACGCAACCAGGCCCGCAGCCUGCGAUGGCUAGCCCAUCUUCUUGCAAGGCCUGCAGCCUGCAUCCCCAUGCUUUCCCGAGCCGAGAGCCCGACGCCCAUCGCGUCCCCAGCAAACCAACCCCGACACCUUUCAUGGUGUCCAUUGGCCACGGCAUGGCCUCCAGCCAUUGCUUUGAACCUUUGGUUCACGUCGUCGACGACUAGAAGUCGUCCCACAUUUCAAAUUGAACUGAGAUUCACCGGAAUCUCGUCGGAUUUUUUUAAUUCGAUUUCAAUUUUUUUAGGGUUUUAUAGUUGUUGAUACGUUGAGAUUUCCUUAUCUCCGUGGUUGUCCACGACAACCGUGACUCACUCUGAGCUCCAACAACCUCGACACGACCACCUGCAGUGGCGCCGUCCACUUUUUUCCGGUUUUCUUCCCCUGCCAAGCACACCCAGCACGGCUGGGAUUUUUUUUGGACCUUUCCCCGAGCCCUAUCCGGGCUUUGUCUCUCAGCCCCAUAUGGAAAAAACAAAUUUUUGCUGGGCUCGCUUGCAGUGGCCCAGCCCGCAAAGACAAAAUUUUUUUGUUUGUUUGUUUAUUUCCUGGGCUCGCUUGCUGCGGCCCAGAUCAAAAAAAAAGAUUUUUUUUUGUUUUUUUUGGGCCAACCUGAAGUGGCCCGCGCGCGGAAAGAAAUUUUUUUUUUGGGGGGGUCUGCCUGCAGCAGCCCAUUCCCUUCUCACCCCGUGGGCCUGCAGCCUACACCCGGGGAUUCUCAGCUUAUAUUUUUAGGCCCUGCGAUUUUAUUAUUUACUAUUUUUAAAUAAUAUGGGUUUUUUUAUUUUCACCCACACUUUAAUUUGGCCCCGAAGACCAAAUAAAUUAAUUCAAUUAUAAUUAUACAAUAUUUUUUGCAUAUACUUGUUGCAUAUUUGUUUGCAUAUAUAUUUGUGUUUGCCUACAGGAGUAUAUGAACCUGAAGUUCAUAAUUACUUUGAAACCCGAAGUUUCUUAUAAACAUGCCUUGUUUGAAAACCUGAAGUUUUCUCUUAAACAUAUCACCCAUGAAAACCCGAAGUUUUUCAUGCAAAAUUAAACCAAUACAUGUCUAUUAGAACCUGUAUGUUCUGCUCCUAUGUGAAUGGAUUGAUUUUUCUCCAUUACACUAACCACAUCUUGUCCAUCUAUUUGUGAUAGGAACAUGUCGAAUUUGAACAAAAUCGACUUCACCGCUUUGGAGGUCUUUGGAAGGAACUACCUCAAGUGGGUUCAAGAUGUGAAGCUCCACCUCACUGCCAAGAACUUGCGUCCUGCUAUUGAAGAAGCAACAACUGAACCUGUUGGCGAAGCUGAAAAAGCCACUGCUAUGAUCUUCAUCCGAAGACAUAUUCAUGACGCUCUGCAAACUGAGUACCUUGCUGAGGAGGAUCCACGUGCACUAUGGGUCGCUUUGGUUGAUCGUUUCGAUCACCAAAAGGACAUAUUCUUGCCUGAAGCAAGACACGACUGGCAGCACUUGCGCUUCCAAAGACUUUAAGUCUGUGAAUGAAUAUAAUUCUGAAGUUUGUCGAAUCCGAUCACUUCUCAAGUUUUGCAAUGAAACUUUGACUGAAGAGGAUCUCCUGGAGAAGACCUACUCGACAUUCUUUGCUUCUAAUAUUGUCCUGCAGCAACAAUAUAGAGCUCAGAAGUUCACUAAGUUCUCGGAUUUGAUCUCUGUUUUACUUCUUGCUGAAAAGCAGAACCAGCUGUUGAUGAAGAAUCAUCAAGCUCGACCUACUAGGGCUACUGCUGUGCCUGAAACACAUUAUAGCACUAAUCAGCACCCAAAACGCCAAAAGAGGCGUGGUAAGGGUGGCCAGAAGCCAUCCCACCAAGGUCAACAGAGUCAAGGCUCAUCCAAGGGAGGAAACAAAGCCCAGAAGCGCCCAACCUCGCUCCUAAGGCCCCGAACUUCAAGAAUAAGGGCAAAGCACUUGCCACAAUGAAUGACGAUAUGUGUUAUCGUUGUGGUUCAAAGGACCAUUGGUCCCGUAUUUGCCGUGCUCCCAAGAAGGUUGUAGAUGAAUAUCAUUCUCGUCGUAAGAAGUUUGAAUCAAACUUCAUGCAAGUGGAUGAACCGGAGACUACAAAGAUGGAGGUUUCUAACUUUCAGGAGGAUACCACUCCUAUGGAAGAUUAGAAUCUUAGACAUAGACUUCUUUUUUAGUUGAAAUAAGACAAUUGGGGCCGAAUUCCACCUAGUGGCCGCACCCCACCUUGUUUUUGGUUGAUUUUGAGCAAUUUUCCUUUAUGUUUUUGGAUUAUUAAUUGGCGAUUUAUUUUGGAUAUUCAGUUUUAAUCCUUGAAUAAAUGAAAUGAUUUUGAAUUGAUACUUGUUUUUAUAAACUUUUAUGCAUGUGACCAAUUCAAAUUAAUUUUUCAUUCUAGGUAUGACUAGUGGGAAAGUUAGUGGUCUGGCAGAUAGUGUAACCACGCAUACUGUUUUGUGUGAACGCAUCUAUUUCACUAACUUCGUACCUAAGAAUGCACCUCUGACAACUCUCUCAGGCCCAUCCAACCUGAUAGAAGGAUACGGUAAGACACGUAUAAUGUUGUCCAAUGGUACAAUCUUGACCAUUGCUGAGGCACUCUAUUCUCCACGUUCCGGAAGAACGUUACUAAGUUUCAAGGACAUUAGAGAUAACAAUUACCAUGCUGAAACCCACGUAGAAAACGGAGUUGAAUUUCUGUGCGUAACUUCCUACGAAUAUGGCCAGAAGCGUAUUCUAGAGAAGAUGGAGCGUAACCCGAGUGGUCUGUAUACUACGACCAUACGCCCCAUCGAAUGCCACUAUGUGGCGGCCCCUACCACAGGGACCGCGCACGAAAUUACACUUUGGCAUGAUCGUUUGGGACAUCCUGGACGAAUAGCAAUGCGCCGUAUCCUCAAAACUUCACACGGGCAUCCACUAACCCGAAGCUUAGGUUCGAUCUAUGACAUCGCAUGUCAAACAUAUUCUAUGGGAAAGCUUAUUACUAAGCCUUCUUAUGACAAGAUUCGUUCGAAUCCUCCCAUUUUUCUACAACGGAUUCAGGGGGACAUUUGUGGACCGAUUCAACCUCCCUGCGGACCAUUUAGAUAUUUUAUGGUUUUGGUUGACGCUUCUACACGUUGGUCACACGUGUGCUUGUUGUCUACAAGGAACGCUGCAUUCUCCAAACUGUUGGCUCAGGUUAUCAAGCUUAGGGCUCACCACCCUGAUUAUCUGAUCAAAUCUAUUCGAUUGGAUAAUGCUGGAGAAUUCACAUCUAAAACUUUUGAUGACUAUUGCAUGUCGGUUGGGGUUGAAGUUGAACAUCAUGUACCCCAUGUGCACAUCUAAAACGCCCUGGCAGAGGUUUUCAUUAAGCGUUUACAAAUGAUUGCUCGAUCAUUGGUCAUACGUACCAAGCUCCCGAUCGCUGCUUGGGGCCAUGCAAUAUUGCACGCAGCAAAGUUGGUCCGCCUGAGGCCUGUUGUGACACAACCAUUUAGUGCCCUUCAGUUGGUCACUGGAUGCGAACCCGACAUAUCGCAUCUGCGCGUUUUUGGUUGUGCGGUCUAUGUGUCGAUUUCGCCACCCUUAUGUACAAAAAUGGGGCCUCAGCGAAUGAUGGAAAUCUAUGUCGGAUAUGAUUCUCCUUCGAUUAUUCGUUACUUAGAACCUUUGACAGGUGAUCUGUUUACCGCUCGUUUUGCGGAUUGUCACUUCUAUGAGACAGUCUUCCCGCCGUUAGGGGGAGAUAAGAACGUCAACGUUCCUAAUGAACGACGUGAAUUAUCGUGGACGACUCCCACUUUGUCUCAUUUAGAUCCCCGCACCGCUCAGUUUGAAGCUGAAGUGCAGUGCAUAUUAGAUCUCAAGAGCAUAGCUCAGAGCAUGCCAGAUGCUUUCACCGAUCUAGCGCGCGUGUCAAGAUCACAUAUUCCAGCUGCGAAUACGCCUGCAAAGAUAGAUGUACCAAAUGUACGACAGACUACCCUCCUGGAAGCCCGGGACGUUAAUUCUGGUGAUCCACGUACAUUAACGGCUAGCCAAUCAUCUGCCCUUACACAAAAGCGUGGCAGACCCCUUGGUUCAAAUGAUUCACACCCUCGAAAGAGGAAAACCACGACACAAGGUCCUAAAGAGCCUACCGUGAAUCCGACUAUCGCUUACUCAUUUUACCCAACUCAUGAGGAAAUUCUAGAUUAUGGAAGCGUCCUUGAAGAGACGAAUCCUCCUCCCGAGAAUCGUGAGAUUUCGGUCUAUUAUGCUAGCUUAGAUGAUGUGUGGCGUAGAAAUGAGAUAAUUGUCGACGAUGCAUUAACAUUUGCAGUAGCUACUGAGAUCAUGUUAAGCGAUGACAUUGAACCGCGUUCCAUUGAUGAAUGUUGACAUAGAGCUGAUUGGUCAAACUGGAAAUAAGCAAUCCAAGUCGAACUUGAUUCACUUGCGAAACGUAAGGUGUUUGGACCUGUAGUUCCUACUCCUCCACAUGUGAAGCCCGUUGGCUACAAGUGGGUUUUCGUUCGGAAGCGUAAUGAGAAGAACGAAAUUGUGCGUUACAAAGCUCGUCUUGUAGCACAAGGUUUCUCACAACGUCCCGGGAUUGACUAUGACGAAACUUACUCACCCGUUAUGGAUGUGAUUACUUUUCGAUACCUUAUCAGUUUGGUAAUUUCUGAAAAACUGGAUAUGCAGCUGAUGGACGUAGUAACCGCGUAUCUCUAUGGGGAUCUUGAUACGAAAAUUUAUAUGAAAGUUCCCGAAGGACUUACAUUGACUGGUUCAAAUAUUUCCAAACCUCGGAACACGCUCUCAAUUCGGCUGAGGCGUUCACUAUACGGUUUGAAACAAUCCGGAAGAAUGUGGUAUAACCGUCUGAGUGAGUAUUUGACUAGUCAGGGAUAUGUGAACAACGAAAUAUGCCCUUGUGUGUUCAUUAAGAAGUCACAUUCCGGAUUUGCGAUUGUUGCAGUAUAUGUCGAUGACAUGAAUCUCAUCGGAACUCUUGAAGAGCUCGCGAGAAUUACUUCGCACCUGAAGUCGGAAUUUGAGAUGAAAGAUCUAGGAAAGACUCGAUAAUGUCUCGAUCUCGAGAUAGAGCAUUGUUCGGAUGGAAUCUUAGUACAUCAAUCGAACUACACCCAGAAGGUGUUGCGCCGUUUUAAUGAGGAUAAAUCGAAGUCUUCGAGUACUCCUAUGGUCGUUCGUACGCUAGAUGCAAAGCAAGAUCCCUUCCGUCCAAAGAAAGAUGAUGAAGAGAUUUUGGAGCCUGAAGUUCCUUAUCUAAGUGCGAUAGGCGCUUUAUUGUACUUAGUUCAAUGCACUAGACCCGACAUCUCCUUCGCUGUUAAUCUUUUGGCAAGAUACAGCAAUGCACCAACACGCAGACAUUGGACUGGCGUGAAAGACAUCUUCCGUUACCUUAAGGGUACUACGGAUUUGGUUUUAUUCUAUACCUACGAAUCCUCGAGUGAUGCUGCACCCUAUGCUCAUCGGGUUGAUUCUCGACUUGUUGGUUAUGCCAACGCUGGAUACUUAUCUGAUCCGCACAAGGCGCAUUCUCAAACGGGUUAUGUCUUUACCGUUGGAGGCACCGCAAUAUCUUGGAGGUCAACUAAACAGACCUUAGUUGCCACUUCGUCUAACCAUGCUGAAAUUCUCACCUUACAUGAAGCAACUCGGGAAUGCUUUUGGUUGAGAGCAGUAAUGGGCCAUAUUCGAAGCUCCUGCGAUCUUCAUCCCGCCGUUAAUGCCCUGACGACGAUUUUUGAAGACAACGCAGCUUGCAUCGAACAACUCAAGAAGGGUUACAUCAAAGGAGACAACACCAAGCAUAUUGCGCCGAAGUUCUUCUUUACACAUCAACAAUAAGAGCAUCAGAAGAUUGAAGUCACGCAAAUCCGAUCACAAGACAAUCUGGCCGACCUCUUCACCAAAUCACUACCGAAGGUGACGUUUCAGAAGCUUGUUCAUGGAAUUGGUAUGCGUAAAUUUUUUGAGUUGUAACUUUGCUAUUUCUCUUUGGAAUUAUGUCAAACUCAGGGGGAGUAUCUUCUGGAUACUUGCUUGAUCUUAAUGUACUCAUUUUCCCUACGAUUAGGAGCAUUUUUCCCACUGGGUUUUUGCUACCUAACUAGGUUUUAACGAGGCACCCACCUUGGGCUGGUCAUAUCCCUGAUGACGUCCUGUAGACGUUUCUUUUGACUUUGCAUUUCUCACGCAUUUUUCCUUAUACUAUGGAUUUUGUCCCUACUUGGGUUUUUGCCAUAGCCUUAGGGUUUUUUUAGUGAGACUUACUACUUAUGCAAGUUCCUAUCUUAUUGAGAAUAAGCGUUGUUCCUUGGAAUCAGUGCCGACGAGUCGACUUCCUCAACUUCUGCAUGAUGCUGAAUCUACCUUAAGUAUUUGCACACUCAAGGGGGAGUGUUGUAAACAUUCCUAGAAUAAGUAUGAUUGUGUAAAUCCUAGAUUAGAUUUGAUUCUAGUUAUCCUUUCCUAUUACAACUUGUAUUACUUGGAGGAGAAGGAAUAUCUUCUCUCCCCUUACUACUAUAAAUAAAAGCACAAUGUAGGAGGGAUAACAACACACACAUUCCCUUACAAUUCUACAAACACACAUCUCUCUCAUCUCUCUCCACUGCCGCCGGCCCUCUCUAUAUUGUCAGAUAAAAAUAGACCACAACAUUUUUAAACUUAUAUGGGUACAUUCUUUUUUCUUUGAUUUGAGAAUGUAUCUAUGUCAAGUUUAAUCGAAGAAAUUUAAUAAUGUUAUUAAGCCUAAUAUUUUUUGUUUUGUUUUGUGAUUUUGAAGAAUAUACCCAUGUUUUGGUACAAUAACUUUUUGGUUAAUUUUGAUGAAUGUACCCAUGUUUAAAUACACACACACACACACAAUAGUAUAAUUUAUAUUUUAAUAUUUUUAAUCACACAAAUUAUGGUUUGUUUAUUUAAAAUCUCAUUAAUAUAAACAACUAUAAAUUUCAAUUUUUAAUUUAAAAAAUAUAGUAACAUACAUAGAAAUAAAUUAUCACAUUAAUUUCAGGAACUUCAAUCAAAAAUUGAAAACCAACAAGAUUUUAGUAAAAAAAUAUUCAUAAUUAAGGACCGCAUCUAAAAUCUCAUUUACAUAUAUUAUUGGAUCGGGUCGCUCUCCUUGGUUGACACAUCCUUCUGCCCAUUGAUGUUCUAAUUUGCGACAGUCAAAUUAUUAUCUCAUAACAUAUUAACAUGUAAUUAGCAACGUUGAUAGAGUAAGCCUUGCCUCACAACUCACAUGCCUACUUUCCGAUUUAUUUCCUAAUUUGCCAAUAUAUCCAACAAAUAGGAAAAAAGUGGUCUCCACACCAUUCAUACCAUUAAUUUUUUCACCAUCAGGCCGGCUUGCUAUAAGAAUCCAACCAAAACAAAAAAGAAAAAAAGAAAGAAAGAAAAAAAAAAACUCUUGCAAGGAAAGACAAAUCUCUUAUUAUAUAAUACAAAAUAAUCCUAUAACCAUAUCUUGAAUUUUGGCAGGUAAUACAAGAAACGUCCAGUGAAGGUGAUGAUGCAAUUAAAACAAAUGAAGCAAAAAAUAUGCCUCUCCUUGUUUAUGUUUCUCGAGAAAAGACCCUCUCAUCCCCAUCAUUUCAAGGCUGGGGCGCUCAAUGUUCUUGUAUGUAUGCAUCUCUCUUUUUUUUUUUUGUAAUUCGAUUAUAAGUUAUAUUCUCUCCAUUACCAUAGAUACUGUACUUAUGUAAGCUGUCAAUUGAUUGUCGUGUGUUCAAAAAUAAUAAUUCGUUUAAUCAAUGAUUCAGAUUGACAGUCUAAUUAAAUAAUACUUAUUUGCUACAUGAUUUGACAAGUGAACAUUGACGUUGUUUUGAUUAGCUACGUGUGUCGGGAGUUAUAAGCAAUUCACCUUACAUAUUAGGGUUAGAUUGUGACAUGUACUGCAAUGAUGCAAGUUCGGCUCGGCAAGCAAUGUGCUUCCAUCUUGACCCUAAGAUAUCACCCUCUCUAGCAUUUGUUCAAUUCCCUCAUAAAUUUCACAACAUCAGUAUCAACGAUAUCUAUGACAGUCAGUUGAGAUCAAUAUUUACGGUAUGUAAGAACUCAAGGACAAACUUUACAUUAAUUAAUUGAUAAGUAAAUGUAUUAUUUACAUCAUAUAGUAAUCUUUGACUAGUUGGUCUUGAUCACUUGUACAUAUAUAGUUGCAAUGGCAAGGUUAUGAUGGGCUUGGAGGGCCCUGUGUGUGUGGUAGCUACUACAUCAAGAGGGUGGCGUUAUGUGGAAGUUCCAUUAGUGAAGGUAAAAUAUAAAUUGUCUUAAUUAAAACACCUUAAUUAGGUUUAAUCAAGGUUUUAAAAGUCGCUAGGCGCUAGUCGGGCGGCGGGCUGGGGCCUAGCGCUUAGGCGGCUAGGCGGAUUUAAGUAAAUCUAUCAUAUUUCAGGUAAAUAAGUGUCUGCUUCUACUUAAAAUAUAUAUAAUUUCAUCAUAAACUACAAAAUAGAAUGCAUAUAUAUCAUGAAGUAUUGGAACAUAAUGAAAACAUGUGAAAUAAGGAUAUAAUGUAUGUUCAUUCAAGUAUGCAACAAGUCUCUUACAAUUUAUUGGAAAAAAACAAAAUGCAAAAGGAAAGUUAUGUAUUUUUUGUCUAAGUGAGUUGCAACCUAGGCGGGCUAGGCGGGUGCCUAGACGGGCUAGGCGGAUGCCUAGGUGGUCUAGGCGGUGGGCUGGGGCCUAGCGCCUAGGCGGGGCCUAGGCAGCGCUAGGCGGGGAUUUUUAGAACAGUGGGUUUAAUAUAUAAUAAGCAUAACAUAUAUAUCAAAUUUAUGAACUUGUCAAUUACAUAUAUAUACUUUUUAAUUGACCAAAUUUUCUGCAAUACCUGUUGGAUGAUGUAUCGAUCGACUAUAGAUAUAUGUGUUCAUUAAUUCGUGGACAUUUUUCUCUGUUGUAUAUCAUAAUAUGCUUUCAGAUGGGGAUGCAAUGAAACUUAGACAAUGUUUUGGUCCAUCCAAGCAGUUCAUCAAAUCCCUCCGCCAAAUCAACAAGCCUGACCAUAUGUUCAUCCCGAGAAAUAAUGCACAGCUAAAUGAAAGCCCACGACUAGCCUCUUGUGCCUAUGAAGAUGGCACCAAAUGGGGUAAAGAGGCAAGUACAAUUAAACCAUUGGAAGCUUACAUUUCACUCCCAAAUUGAAAGAUAAAUUUAUUAAAAUAAUUAUGGUAAGCUUAGUCAAUUGUGAGCAGUUGAUACAUGUCGGUCGUGCAAUGUAUUAACAGAUCAUAAUAACCCUGCGCAGGAGGUGACUGAGCCUAGCAUUCCUCUAAUGCUAAUGGUGAUAUCUUACUCUUAUUUGUGGCAUGCAAGUUGGUUUCUUAUACGGUUCAGUGGUGGAAGAUUACUUCACAGGGUUUCAUUUGCAUUACAAAGGUUGGAUUUCAGUGUUUUGUGAUCCAAAAAGGCCACAAUUCUUGGGUAGCGGCACCACCAAAUUGGAUGAGUUUUUGGUCCAAGGGACAAGAUGGUUCCUCUGGCUUAGUUGAUGUUGCUAUCUCCAAGUUCAGUCCUCUUAUAUAUGGCCCUUUCAAAACCCACACUUUCCUUCAAAGCAUGUGUUAUGCAGAAAUUGCUCUCUUACCCAUUUUCUAUUUCUUGACACUCUGGUGCUUUGCUAUCAUUCCUCAAGUGUGUCUACUCAAUAGCAUUCCUUUGUACCCCGAGGUAAUUAAAUUUUGUUUUCCUCUCAUUAUAACUAUACAUAGUUAAAUAUCUUUAAAUAUGAUUAAGAAUUUUUAUGGCAACAAGGGAAAUGUUCACUUCCAUUAUUAUGAAUGUAAACCAUUUAUUAUGGUUGAUUAUGGACAAAAUUUAUGGUUCAAAAUUCAAUUUCACAGUUUGUCGAUAUAAGUACUUGUAUACAAACGUAAGUACAUAAGAAAGCAUUACCCUUUUUUUAGAGUGCUUAUAGGUAAUUCACACCUUGGAGUAUGAUUCCGAUAUUCUAACAUGCCGAUCAUGUUAUUGCUCUUUGCAGGUCUCAAAUACGUAUUUUAUCGUAUUUUCAUUUGUAUUCCUAUCAUUGCUCUCUAAACAUUUAUAUGAGGUGCUAGCAACAGGAUCAACAUUUCGACAUUGGGUAAAUGAACAGAGAAUAUGGAUGAUGAAGUCAGUCACAUCUCACUUAUAUGGUAGUGUGGAUGCUUUCAUGAAGAAACUUGGUAUGAGAGAAGCCAGUUUCUCCCAACAAAUAAAGUCGACGACGUUGAACAACUCAAGCUUUACAAUAUGGGAGUAUUUGAUUUCCAAACAUCACUACAAUUUCUUGCUCCAAUGGUUGCCCUAGUCAUCUUGAACAUGGCUUCGUUUGCUGUGGGGAUUGCUAGAGGGAUCUUUGUGGGGGAGUUGGACAAGAUGUUCAUACAAAUCUUCAUAGCCUUUUAUGUCAUAGUAAUGAACUACCCUAUUAUUGAAGGAAUGCUAAUAAGGAAAGACAAAGGAAGCAUUCCACUAUCUGUUACCCUACUAUCUGCCUUAUUUUCCCUCAUUGUCUAUUUUUUUUGGUUCUAUUAGGUCUCGGGUUCAAGAUUUGGGAGCAGCCUCUCCAUAAAUGGGGGUAAGGUUAGCCGACAUUCACCUCUCCCAGACCCUGCGUAAAGCGGGAGCCUUGUGCACUGGGUACGACCUAUUAUAUUCAUGUAGCAAGGUCAUGACCUAUAUAUGUGUAUACAUUUUUCUGAUUUAAUAAUAUGAUUCCUAACUGUUUUUAUUUUUCUACUCUUUGCUUCUGUUACUUCUUAAUCAUUGGGAUAUUGUAAAUGUAGGGGUGUCUAAAAGAUAUACUCUUUUCUUCUCUUGGCUAAGAGUUCUACUUCAGCCUUCAGCCCCCAAAGUAAUAGGAAUGCAUGAAUAGAGCCAUAAUUUCGAAGAAAGAAACGCCAUUAAAUUGUCUUUGACUAGUGAUCAGAGUAAAGUUACCAUAAACUAAGCCCAAUAAGUUUUGGCAGCAACAUUAAUAGGUAAGAACAUGUAUCUCCAUAGUCCAAGUUCUGGAGGUCCUUUUUCCAAAUCGCUCUUUCAUUUAAUCAAUAAUAGAAUAUGUUUCCAAAUCACCCUAAUGGUCCAAUAAAUUUAGGAAAAUAAUAAAC
rnacentral:lncRNA from 1 species